UAAAUUAUAUUUUAACAAUUUCAACCAGUAACCGAUCGUCCCUAGCGCAAGUGACAAACAGCUUGAUGGUUGAUACUCCGGUCACAGGGUUCGAAGCCUAAUUGCUUCGCAUUUCUAGCUGAGUUUAUUUAUAAAUAGAAUAAACGAAGUUGGUAGCGUGCUACCUUUCUCUUCAAAAAAAAAAAACAACUUCAACCAGUGGUGCAUUUUGUAUCGUGCAAAUUAUAAAUAAACAUUCCUGAUUAUACUAGUGUAGUGACCCACGCGUUAAAGCGGGUAGAUACCGUUAAAGUAAAAAUUUGUAAAAAAUAAAUUAUUAGUUUAGUACAAAAAAUAGUAAAUAUAGUUUACGUUAUAGACAAAUAAUUUAAAAAAUAAAACUAUAAUAAAAAAAAAUUUAAUCGUUUCAACAAAAUUAUUCAACCUUAUUAAAAAAAGUUGCAUAUCAUGCAAAUGAAUGAUUAAAAUUAUUUCUAUAACAUAAUAGUCAAAUGAGAAAAAAAAGAAAAAAAAGUAAUCAAAGGAGAAAAAAAAAAGUAGGCCCCACUAUUUUCCAAAUUAAGGGGUAGGUAAUGUAGAUGUAUAGGUAUAGAUAUAGUUGUGUGCUUUUGUGUGUGUGUAUUUCUAUCUUUUCUGUAAUUCAAUUAUUGUUGUAUAUUAUCUUUUGUAUUGGAUGAUUAUCUGAAAGUUUUUUUUUUCUUUUUUUUGGUUGAGAAGGUUAAAGUUUUUGAACACCGGACGGGCACGAGAAGAAGAUGUCCGAGACAGAAUGUUAAGUUAGUGCCAUCCUCUAUAUUCAUUUUUCAAUAGAUAGUGUUUCACUCAGAAUUAAGGUGGGUAUACCAUCAUGUAUACUUAUUAUGCCACCAAAUAUCAUCUAGUUACGAGCUAUUCUCACUUGAGUGAGAAAGAUACACUUAUAUCUCGGAAAUAGUAAUUCCAUUAGAUUUGUGGAAUUGCAAUAUCCCUAUAACUUUAUCUGACUUAUUCCUUUCUAUCAGACCAUGCCAAGCAUACUGGAGAUGGUACCUAACAAAGGUUUUGGGAUUUUUUUUCUUUUUCUUUUUUUUAAUUGUCUGAAUAUCCUCAAGCCUAAUAUUAACCUAAAAUUAUAAACAUUAACCUAAAAUUACAUAAUUCCUAAUGUCACGAGAGGAAGCACUCAUUUUCUUUACUUUUGUUUAGGCCAAAAGGAAUUCAGCAUUGAACUUUGAUUUUGUCGUAAGUUUCGAUGUAAUUUGCUAGUUUAAUUUUGUUUCAAGUAAUUUUGUACUUAAUUUUCUGAUGUAUUACGCUAUUACUUCAGGGUUCUAAAAUUGUCAGUGUGACGUGUACUGGGUGUUUAUCAGUUUAUGACUUUGAUACACUCUACUGCUCCAUAUAUGGUCCAACAUCUGGCAAGUUCACUUAUUGCAUACAUGAUGGAUGCCCUUUUUUCCUGUAAUCUCUUUACUGUGAUGUACGCCAUAUGAUCAAUGCGUAAGUCUCUCUCCCAAAUAGUAGGUUGCUCACUUCACCUGAGUUAUUUGUGAGUUAUUUAUGAAAUUUUAGCCAACAUAGCGUUCAGUUGGUUUUAAAGAGGUUUGAAAAUAGGUUUUACAUCAAAAAGAGUUUCCUAAGCAUCUAAUUUCAUAUAAUACAAUAUAUAUGUUUUGUAUUUUUACUAUAGAAAAUACAAAUAGAAAACCAAAAACACCUCACUUUUCCUUACUUUCUCUUAUCGCUCUCUUCAUUCAUUUCCUUCUAAAACAUGCAUAUACCUAGUAAACUUUUUUCAUUGUGGCCUAAUCAAACGAUAAUCGACACAUAUUUCUUUUCCAUAAAAGACAUCCUUUUCUUGGUAUUUAUAUACAAUAACCGUUUUAUUUAAAUCUAAACAUCAAUGAAUGUUUUGUUUUAAUUAAACUAAUUUACCUCUUGAUGAGUUACUUUGUGUUGUUUCUCAAUUUUCUUUUUGGCACGGAUUCUAGCUGAUGAAGUAAAGCCCCGAUUACAUAUCAGCGAUUGUAGAAAUAACUUUGCUGCAGUCCGUUGGAGCCCACUUAAUCGAGAUGAGGUAGAAAUACCACAAUAUAUUCGCCAUUUUUUAAUUUGUUAACGAGCUAAUUAUCACAGAGUAAAAGGUUUGUUAUGAGAAAUUCCAACUUAUCUUCUUAGAAGACAUUAUAUAUUGGUUAUUUAAGGAUAAAAAUUUUGUUUUACAUUGGGUGCUUUAAUUGCUCUUUCUUAGCCUAAUGUCAUAACACGAUGUUGUCUCAAUGACGAAUUGGCUCAACCUCAUACAGUAGAAUAUGUGAAUGCAAGGCAUGCAAGGUAAAGUCAUAUGGAGAACACCCCAACAUCAAUUUUUUUUUAUUGAUACUAUGUUAAAAUUUUAUUUUGUAUUUUUUGUUUUUUGCGAUUUGAGUUAUUUACUCAAUGUAAGUGAAUAUGGCAUUAAUUUCUUUUGAUGAAAUUGCAGCAAUUAAUAAAUUUGAUAAAUAUUUCAAUUUAACAUAGUAACUCAAAUAAAAAUAACAUGAUAUUCUAUUUCUUAGUUUGAGUAUAAAUAUAGUUUAACAUCAAUGCUAACUUUGAUUCUUACAAGAUGUGUUAAUACAGUAUUUUUAAUUUUUGCAAGUUGCUUGCACAUCGUGGGGACGUCACAAAGUUUUUCUUUAUGAUGUCAACAUUGGCCUGCUUAUACCUACCACAGUAACUCAAAUAAAAAUAACAUGAUAUUCUAUCUCUUAGUUUGAGUAUAAAUAUAGUUUGACAUUAAUGCUAACUUUGAUUCUUACAAGAUAUGUUAAUACAGUAUUUUCAAUUUUUGCAAGUUGCUUGCACAUCGUGGGGACGUCACAAAGUUUUUCUUUAUGAUGUCAACAUUGGCCUCCUUAUACCUACCACAGUAAGCCCCGUAGAGAAAUGUGAUUUUUUUAAUUUUUUUAAUUUUUUUGAGUAACACCAUCAAUUUCAAAUACGGUACAGGGGGCCUGAGGUGCUCUUGCGGCACCCGAGCCUCCUCUCCUACCUGUUGUCCCUCCGCUCUGCCCCGCCGCCUCCUUCCUCUCCCUUAUUCUUGCCUCACUCCACCACCUCGCUCCUCGCCUCGCUCCACCACGCCAGCCUCGAUCUUUUUAAAUAAAAGUUGCACUGUUUCUAGGAGAAAUAGUGUAAAUACUAGUGUAGGAACCCACGCAAUGCAACGGAUAUAAUCAUAUUUGAUUAAAUUUAAUAUAUAAAAAAUAGUUUAAAAUUUUUAGAAUAGAAUUAUAAUUCAAUGAAAAACAAUGAAAGAUAAAAAAACAACAUGAGAAAAAAUUUUGUUACAUACAAAUCGGAUCCCUUUGUACCCUCAUUUAGGGCAUUUUUUACUAACAUCGACGAUUUUGUGAAAUACCAUAGUGCCCUUCAACUCCUUUUCGGCAAGUCCAUAUCUUAGCCGAUUCUUUUCGUCCUCCGAGGCCAUUAGAGGAGAGGGAUACACACCCUUUGCAAAAUUAUACAGUACAAAUUUAAGCGGUCGAGAUCGAGGGAGGAGGGAUAGGGGCUAGGGUUAGAGUUCAACUCACCUGACGUUGAUGGCAAGGGUGAGGAUGUUUUUGGGGCAUAUAAAUUAUUGCCGGUGAUAAUUUUGUUAUCCUAAAUUCGAUGCCAUGUAUCUAAACUAGGAAACUUUGCGACUCAUAACAUUCAGGUCUUGUAAGAGUAAUUGUGAACUCUAUAGCUUAUUUAAUCAGAAGUUUUUGCGGGAUGUAAAUGGCUAUUAUGUCGUCAGGAUGCUGUAUUAUCUAUAUCUUUUUCGGAGGACAAUCCUUUCUUGCUAGUUGUUGGAGGUAAAACGGGAAAACUGUGGGUAAGCGCAAAAUUAUUAUUUUCGCACUUCCUAUUUUCGUUCAACAUUUCUGAUUUGGUCCUUUUUGUUCUUCACCAGGUCUGGAACACCUCAUCCGAUCCACGAGUAAUUCGUAACUUCGGCAAGCACAAUAACGAAAAAAAGAGCAGAUCUUCUUUCUGUUCCCUGAGCAAUUUGCAUGUUUAUAAUUUUUUCUAAAGUUUUUAAUUAUUCUAUAUAUUUUAGAAAAUUUUGAAAUAGGAUAUAGAUAUCGUCGAAUAAUCGAUUAAUAUUUAUCAGUGCAGUUUUUAAGAUAGCUUCAAUUUUGAAUUUUACUAAAAUUUAAGAUAUAUAUUUUCAAUCCACUUUGUGUAUUGGUUCUUUGCCUUGUGGUUUUUUAUUCUUGUUUCCGUAUAUAAAAUUUGCUAUUUUAUUUGCUUGUAUUUCUUAAUUGGGUAAGUAACGCUGUGAAUUUUUUUUUCGGCAAACUAAAAAUGGUGAAUCAUUCAACGUCUUUUCUUUAAUAAUAGAUAUGAAAAUUUUUUCUUAAAGAUGGUGAAUUGUUUACUGUCUUCCAAAUUUCUUAUAAAAAUGGUGAAUUAUUCAACGUCUUUACUUUAAUAAUGGAUGAUUUACUGUUUCUUUCUAUUUUUCAUAUAAUUCCCAUGAUCACAUAAAAAUUUCAACAAUAUAUUUACAAUUUCAACAACCUACAAAUUUUAGUACUCUAUCCAUACAACAAUUCUAACAAUAAAAAAAAAUUAUAAUAAUCCAUAUAUAAUUCUGACAAUUUAUUUUUUUUGUUUUACAUAUAUAAUAAUAAUAAUAAUAAUAAUAUAAAAAUUAUGAAAAAUCACAUAUAAAUUAUGAAGGUGGUGAAUUGUUUGCCGCCUACCUAAUGACGGUGAAUAGUUUGAAAAUAUUGUAUAUUUUAUAUUUGGAAAUUGUAAUGUUAAGUUUGUUAUUGACUUAUCAAGUCUACGUAUAUUUUUAUUAGUAAAAUAUUAAUGGUUUCCAUAAUAAAAAUACCUUAUAUCCCUAAUUUAAUAUUCCCACCACCUAUAAAUUUACAAUAAUUUUACUACAACAGAAAAUUUUGAGGAGCUUAAAAGCCAAAAAAGCUUGAAGCUUAUCGUAAUCAAAUUUAACGGAACUAAUGUAACCUACAACCCUAAACCCUAACGUAAUCUUAUAUAUCUCGUUAAACACAUUCAAGUUCGAUAAAUUAUUCACCGCUUUCUAAAUUUUCUACAAAAGCUUUGCUUUUAAGCUGAUACUCUGAACCCUAAACAUUGCUUUUCGGAUUCAAAUUCUCCAUUAAAAUUAAAAUUUUUAAUUCGAAACUAAUAAUUUAAAAUUAAAGUUUUGAAUUUGUAUUGAAAGAUAUAAAUUUAAAACUGAAUUAAAAAUUUGAAUUGAAAUUAUUUCUCUCUCCCCCUCCCAGUUAGGGAUGUUUGGAUCGGGUUUUUAAAAAUCUGAAUCCGAAUCCGAAAACUAAAUUAAAACUCGAAUCCGGACCUGAACCGGCGGGUUUUAAAAAUUUAUACCCAUAUUCGGACCUGACCAAAAACCCAAAACCUGAACCUGGACCCGAACCCGGCCGAUUUUAAAAAUCCAUACCGUUGGAUAAAAAUCUAAAAAAUAAAAAAUAUUAAAUAUUUUAUAUAUUAUAUAAAUAAAUAAAAAUAAAUUUUAUAUAUAUAUAUAUAUAUAUAUAUAUAUAUAUAUAUAUAUAUAUAUAUAUAUAUGUAAUUUAUUCAGAUUUGAGUUUGGAUCCAUAAUUCCAUAUCUGUCUGAAUUUUAAUUUUCUAUACCUAUAGCCGAAUUCAUACCGGUUUAGCUCGGUAAACCAGUCCUGUUUGGAUUUGGGUUUGGAUUGCAGGCAUCCGUACCCAUCGAUAUCUCUACUCCCAUCCCCUCUCCUCCCCACCCCGGCCGUCGCUCUUCCCCGUUCGCGGCCGCCCACUCUCCAGUUUUUCCAUAUAAAUAUAAUAAUAACAACAAGAACAACUAUUCCUCCUCCUCCUCUUUCCCUCUCUCUCCAUCGCCGAGAGAGAUGGGUUUUGGACAAGAAGAAGAGUAAGUUUUUGUUUUUACUUAAUUUUCUUAAUAUAAUGAUAGUUUAAGUCGAAAUCGAAAUAAGACACUAGUCGCGUAAUCGGACUGAUAACAUUCUGUUUUUUUUUUGGAUUUUUUUUCCUUUUUAUUUUUUUUAACUGUGCAGUUCUCAGAGAUGUCUGGCAGCGCCGGUGAAGUCUGCCGUCGACAAAUUUCAGCUCCUGCCGGCCUUCCUGAAGGCGUGUAUUUGUUCCCAGUCUGCACGAGUUUUGUUCAUAUUUACGACGGCAGUCGAAUUUAUAGAUUGAGUUUUUUUUUUUUUUUUUUUUGGUUUUUGCAGGUGAGGGGGCUUGUGAAGCAGCACAUAGAUUCAUUCAACUACUUCAUCAAUCAUGAGAUGAAGAAGAUCAUGAAGGCCAAUGACCUCCUCGUCGCGCACCACGACCCCAAUAUUUAUCUCCGGUGAGUGCGAUUCGGUGUUUAUUCUCAUCCGAAUCGUAGUAUUUGGUCGAUGAAGAGUAUGAUUAAGGCUCCGUUUGGAUGCCGGAAUAAUAAGAUGUGUAAUGAUAACUUAUUAUGUAUGAAGAUUUUCUUGUAUGAUCGGAAACUGAGAGUUAAAAAUGUUGGAAUUAAUGAUUUGAAAGCGGAAUAUGGUGUCUAUUCCAAACAUUUCAUCCCGCUCCUCAUCUUCCAAAUACUAGAUACUUCUUGAGUAAAUCAAAGAGAUAUACUGAAUAAGAUGCUCGUGCAUCCAAAUAGGGUCUUAAUGUCUAGAAAGGCAUAAUAUAUUCGAAGUCCAAGUCAUUUUAUCAGAAUAAGAUAAAUUACCUCGUAGGUGAAAUAUACUAUCCUAACAAAUUAUGGCUAUUCUCAUGGUGUCACUAGUUAUCACUGAAUAACUUGUUCCGGCACCCAACAGGUCGUUUACGUAUAUUCGGAGUUUGAUGUUAAUGUUUGAUAUGUACAAACUUGAUUUAUUUGAUUUAGGUACACUAAUAUAUAUGUUGAGAGUCCGUCGGUGGAGGUGGACCGGGUCUCUGAGGAGCUCAAGCCCCACUUUUGCCGCCUCUCCGAUCGCACGUAAGUGGGCUUUAAGAUUUCUCUCUAUCUUCUGGUUUGCAUUUCCCCCCGCCUUAAUUUUAUGUCUAUGCUAACCAUUUAGUUAGUUUUCACUACAACUUUAUUUUCUUAUUUUCUUAUUUUUUUUGUUUAUAUUGUUAUCAUCAUUAUUAUUAUUAUUUUUAUUUGAGAAGUUUAAGCAAUUGGAAAUGGAGAAAAAAGGUGUCAGUGGGCUGUUUCUAGUAAGCUGUAAUUGUUAGGAGAUGAGGGGGUUGUGGCGGCGGUGGUUAAUACAAUAUCCUAAUAGCACUACAACCUAUAGGAGGGCCAAGUGGAUGCUUACUGAUAUUGAGAAGCAGUUGGAAAUGGAGAAAAAAGGAUGUGGGGAGGGUUGCGGGUGUGGAGAGCCCUUGUAACCUACCAGGAGUUUAGAGAGCUUACAUGAUUUAGGUCUUUCUUGUGCUUGUUUGGCCUUACUUCUACUUCUGUUUUCAAGCAUAGUCACGUCUAAUAGAGCGUUUGGCAAAUUGAGAAGUCUGGUGCUAUUAUUGUAGGUGGGAAGCUGAAAUGAGAUUCUGAGCCUCAGAAGCAGAAACUUUCUCCAUUGGAUUGCAGCUUGUACUUCUCACUAGAGAGAGAAAUUGUUGGGGGAACUUUAGUGGAGUCACCUAAAAUCACUACUCAAAUUGGAGCUAGUUGAACAACAUUAUAACCUACAGUAGGGCAAAUAGAGCCCUUAAUAAUAUUGAAUAGGUUUUUUAAAAUAUCCCAAAAAUACCUCCCCUUUGAAGUUAAGAAGUUUAUUUUUAUUUUUUAAUUAUGUCAAGAGGCAUAAUUUUGGUCCUUAGCUUAAAUUGUUUUGGUUCUGGAUUUUUUGAUGAAGGCUCAAACUGAUUUGGGAUUUGGGCGUGGUAACGCACAUACACGUAACAGCCUUAUGCUAAUUUACGGAGGCUGUUUUAGUUCCCUUCUAUGAUGGUUCAAAAGAAUUCCUUUUGUGCUAUUUUUACAGUUAUGCUGCUCCUGUGAAGGUCGACAUAGAAUACUCAAAAGCAAACCUACCAAAUAAAGUCGAGUAUAAGGUAUCAAUGUUUUCACAAGUCGAUCUUGUACUUGUCUUCAGCUACUUUGAAAGAUGCUUAUCUAUUCUAUUUGUUUCAGAGAGGUGUACUUAUUGGACGAAUGCCAAUUAUGCUCCGCAGUUCCCACUGCGUGCUAAAUGGGAAGGAUGAAGAACAACUUGCUCGCCUUGGUAAGACGUGAACUCCUCAUACAUGCCAUCAAGCAAGUUUUUUUUUUUUUUUCCAUGCUAGUGAAAAUUUUCUUCUGCUGUGUAAUUUAGUUGCGCUUAUACGCUGUUUUGAUUCUAGGUGAGUGCCCUCUUGAUCCCGGUGGUUAUUUUAUUAUCAAAGGAACUGAGAAGGUAAAUUUUUAUCUGUGUUUAUGGUAAAAUUUAAAGAAUUAUGUUUUUAUUAUUUUUUUUGUACCUAUCCUGUUGUCUUGAUUUGACUCUUUGUUUUUUAUCUUUGCUCAUGUAUGCGAAGGACGUGCUGCUAAUAUAUUUUUAUGUGUUUUUAGGUGAUUUUGAUACAAGAGCAACUUUCAAAAAAUCGUAUUAUCAUUGAUACUGAUAGUAAGGGGAGGUAUGUUGCCUUCGCUGAUAUCCUCUUUGUUAUUGUUCUUAUACUGUGGAAAAACAUUAUUUGGAGGUUCUUGUUCCUAAACUUGGAGAAAUCUUCAUCACAGUAUUUUAAUGACAAGUGGAGUGAAGUUUGUUUAUGAAGUAAAUAAAUUAAAAGAUAUGUUUAAGUUUAAAUUUUUAAUAUCAGAUGUAUGUUUUUAAAGUUUGUCUAUACCACAUUCAGUUGGUUUCUCUUUGGAUUCUAUUACCAAUUUCUUUCCCCACUCAUUCAAUAUAUUUACAACCACACUGAGAUUUUCAGAAAUCUCGUGAGGCUUACAGCCUUACACCUUAUUCUGUGAGCAUGUUGCUUAGAUACUUCAUAGCUUACUUUUUAGUGGAAUUGAAACCUGUCAAUUCUAUAACUAUCUCUCCACAUCUUUGCAAUGGUUCAAUAGUUAAAUGUAUCCAUUUGUCAUUUUUGUUUGUGUAUCAAAACCAGAUCCAUGUGCUUUAGUUGUGUGAUAGAAAAAGUUUGUUUGGUCUCAAAAGUUCACUAUUUGUUAUUGUAUUCUCAUCCUUGUCAGGGUGACUGCAUCAGUUACUAGCAGCACACAUGAAACGAAAAGCAAAACGGUUUUGUUUAUGGACAAAGAGAAGAUAUAUCUGCAACUUAAUCAGUUUGUUAAGCCGGUAUGCAGUAAAUAACUCUGUUUGUUAGGAGUUGAUCUUUGAAAAGUUUCUGUUCUUACUCUUUCUCCUUUAUAGAUUCCUAUCUUGGUGAUCAUGAAGGCUAUGGGAAUGGAAAGCGAUCAAGAGGUUGUACAAAUGAUUGGGAGAGAUCCAAGAUAUGGAUCUCUUCUCCUUCCGUCACUUCAGGUAGCCCGCUAUUCACUUAAGAUCUCUGUUUAGUUAACUUAAAUGCAAAUGCUUCUUUGCAAUUAGUUAUUGUGAUCUAUUGACGUUUACGAAAGAAGGUGCAUCUCACAGAAAUUAGUCCAUACUUCCCUAUAAGCUUUUUAUUGUAAUUAAUUUUUCUUUUGAGCUCAAUGUAGUUUUGCUCGUACGUGGCUGAAGAGGUACGCCUUGUUAAAAUUAUUCUGUACUGUUUUAGUACUUUAUCUAUGAUAGUGAAAUAGAAGAUCUAAAUACUUUUUGCAGCCUUGGUUGUAAAUGUUAUUAUUUUGAAGAGCCAUGUUUAGCAAUACGUACCAGUGGUAAGUAGCAUGGGUGGUAAGAGCAACAGUUAUAUUCUAGUAUUCUCCAGAAUGUGCAAUCUAGAUUCCCAUGCAAUUGUGUUGCUUGAUAUUAUAAUCUUUAGGUUCAAAGCCAUUGUAGAAAAUCUUUAUUUAGAAUAGCUUUUUCUAAACCAGGUUCGAAAGUCCCUAGAUAAUUUUCCAUGUUAUUGAGCACUGUGAUACACUUCAGUUUUCAUUAGUUCCCGCCCAUAGAAUGAUGAAAAAUUUCAGUGAUGGCGAUCCACCUUGAUAAAUCUAACACGAGAAAUCUCGCCUAGUUUCUUAAUUUGAGAUACCAAUUAAGCUUUGGACCUUAGAUUUAGACCUGGCCUUGAGUAUAUGUCUGGUGCGAACAUUGAACAUGCCAUAGUUGGGUUAUAUAAAGUAGCAGGGAAGUUGUAUACAAAAAGGAAAAUAUUUUUGUGGUGUUGGUGAUCAAUUGUUGGAUAGUCAUCUUGGGGAUAUUUGUUGAUGUAGUGAUAAAUAUCUUGUGCUGCUGCCUUAUUAAUGCAGCUAGUUAAUAUAAAAAAUGUUUAAGUGGUAGGAUUGCCUUCAAAUGUUUUCUCUGUGGGAACCACUUUGGUGAGACCACAAUUAGAUCAUGAUACUUUUUGUGAAGCUCUUUUAGAUGAUUGGCUAAUUGUGGGCCUUUUCAAGUUAUCCGGAUUCCGGAGUUUUCUUCCUAUUAUCUGUAUUUCUUCAUCUUAAAUUCUCUUACUGUAAGAUAGAGCUAAUGCUAAUUUACGAUGAUGCUGUAAUUCUGUUUGCUGAGCAAAUUAUGCUUGUCUACAGGAAUGUGCAUCUGAGAGAAUAUACACUCAACAACAGGCCCUAGAAUACCUUGAUGGAAAGGUAAAUUUGCAACUGAAGAAUCGGUGCCCAUUUAUGUACUUCAAUUUUAAGAUUUUCUUUUAAUCCCAAUUUGCCAACUUAAUUUCAUGGCCCAAGAUCUAGGUUGUGUAUACCACAUUGCAUGAAAUUUAGGUAAUGCUUACAACUGCACCAUUUUCCUAAUAUUUUUCUAUUUAUUUUUUCCCCUUCUUUGCAGGUGGUUUAUUCUAGUUCAGCAAGAACCGAGACUAGAAAGGUGCUUCUGUAUUUUUAAUCUUGUGAGGACGUCACAUUGUCUAGAUAAAAUUACAUACUCAUGACCUUUUUGAUAUUCUGAUUGUGCACUAAAAAAUAUUGAAUACUUGUUAAUAGAUGCUUGUAUUGGUGACUAAUGCUCCCUUUUCUAUCUAAUAAUAUGUUACUUUUUUCAUGUAUUUUUUACAGGAAAGCCGGGCAAAGUCAAUUCUCCUUGAUGUCUUUCUUGCUAAUGUCCUGGUAAUAUUUACUUUCUCAAAAUAGGGUUUGGUAGCUCUUUUUGUGGCCUUGUUCCAAGUUUCAUCUCCUUCGCAGGUCAAGGAAGGCAAAUUUCGACCCAAAUGCAUAUAUACUGCUGUCAUGUUACGACGCAUGAUGGAUGCGAUCCUGAACACUGAUACCUUCGAUGACAAGGCAUGCGGUACUUCUAACUCAUAUUGUUAUAUGCACGCCAAGUAAUUCAUAUUUUAUAUCCAAAUACUUAUGUUCAUUACCUGCUACUAAUUCUUCAACAGUUUCACUAGAAUGGGAUAAGCGUGUAUGUUUGACUAUAUGCCUUUAUAAUAUUUGCAAUAAAUUGUCUUACAAGUUGAAAUACUUUGCUGCGCAAUCUUUUGCUGCUUUUCUGUUUGACAAGUCUUUCGGUAUCUUAUGUGUUUUCUAUUUAUAAUAUGAAGCUGCCAAACUUUUUAUUUAUUAAUAUACAUAUCCAUGCAUAAGCAUGUACAUUUAAGUACCAUGGUCUGAAACUACUGAAAUUAUUCAUCAACGACUUGUUUUUACCAACUAUUUACUCAUUUACAUUAAUAUGAUUUGCCCCUUAGGAUUGUUUUAUGUUGUAAGCUGAUUUAGGGACAUAGCAUGAUGCAAGGAAUGCAACGACCAUUUUGAUAUAUUGUAAAUAAAUGAAAAUUAAACUCUGACAGGAUUAUGUCGGCAACAAGAGACUGGAGCUUUCAGGGCAGCUCGUAUCAUUACUCUUUGAGGUAAUUUGUUAUACGACCUUCACACUUUGCAGUUUAGUAAAAUUUGAUCCCAACUUUCAAUUGUUUAGUUUUUAUUUUGUUUUGUUUUUUUCACUGGUGCAGGAUUUGUUCAAAACAAUGAAUUCCCAAGCUUUGGAACGGCUGAGAAGGUCAUACGAACAGCAGAAUCGCUCGAGUCCUUUGGAAAUUUUCCCUGUAAGACCUUAAACUUCAUUUCCACUAUUCUGAUAUUAAGGAUCACUCUCUAUCUACUUUUUUAAACUCGUUGGAAUUGCAAAUAGUGUAUUAUUCUUCCAACAAUGCUGAUUGGUAAAACUUCAUGUCCACUUUUCUAAGGAUCACUCUCUAUCUGCAAUUUUUUCCUCGUAAUUUUUGAAAGUGCAAUGUCUUACAUAAGUUGGAUGAAGUUCUUGCAUUCUGUUUGCAUUAUCUUUUGCUUAUAUCUGCACGAAUUGAUAGUUUCCUCGGAAAAAUUUGUCAUUCACUUCUCUUCUUCCUCUUUCUGCUAAUAAUUAGUUGCCUAACAACUGUUGCUUUUAUGAAUAGUUUCUCCUAUUGCUAAAUUGACAUGAUUUUUUCGCAAUAGUUGUUUGUGCAAAAUAGUACUAUUUGAGAGUGUUCCAUAGCUUUGGUGUAUUCUUCUCUUUUAUGCUAAUAUCUUCCUCUUGGAUCCACUUUUCGAUAUGAUCAAAUCUUGUGUACAUAAUUUGAAAUUCAGCAUUCAUUUUCCAGGCACAAGACUUAUUUGAAAAUAUAUGAUUUCCAGUCUUUUUUGUAUGGUUCAGAUUAGUCAUCACCUUGUAAGUGUACAAUGAUGUCUAACAGCUGUUUAACUAACCGUUUCUUUUUUAUUUGUUUAUUUAUUUUUCUUUUGAUGCAGUAUUUAACUGCGGACAUCAUAACCCAGGGCUUGGAGAGGGCAAUCUCUACAGGAAACUGGGAUCUAAAGCGAUUCAAGAUGCACCGGAAAGGUGUAUCGCAGGUUAAUAUUUCUUCCUAGUUACGUUCUACAACUACAGGCCUACAUGGACUGCCAAACAAGGUUUUAAGUACCCGUCGGCAUGGGCCGUAUCCACCGUGCCGUACCGUGCCAACAAGAUACCGGCACGAUACAGAUCCCGUGCCGAUGGCACAGCUCAAAAUCCUUUAUUCUUUAAAUUAGUAAGUAAUUUCCUCAAUAAAGUUCAAAAGAUGUGAUAAAAAGACAUAAUAAAUAGUUAGAAUAUUUUGUUACUAAAAAGAAUAAAUAUUACAUGCUAUUAUGUGUCGGCACACAAAAAUUUUUUUGGCCGGUACGUAUCGGCACGGUUCGGCACGCACCGUGCCAUACCGUGCCGGCAAGUUUCCGGCACGACCCCGUGCCACGGCACUUAUGCCAAAUUACUAUGCAAUUUUUUUGCUUCUCUAGGUUCUAUCUAGGUUGUCAUUCAUUGGAGCUUUAGGUCACAUGACACGCAUAUCGCCACAGUUUGAAAAGACUCGGAAAGUAAGUGGACCGAGGGCUUUGCAACCUAGCCAGGUAGAAGAUAGUACUUUUAAUCAUAAAUUAUUUACUGCAUGAAUAUGAUUGGUUACGUAUGUUUUUUUUUUUUUUUAAAUAAAUUAAUGGGCCCAUCUUAUUUAACAGUGGGGCAUGCUUUGCCCGUGUGAUACUCCAGAAGGAGAAGCUUGUGGAUUGACGAAAAACUUAGCAUUAAUGACUCAUGUUACGACUGAUGAGGAGGAGGGUCCGCUGGUUAUUUUGGUUCGUAUUCUCUCCCUGUAUUUUCUUCCAUUUGAAAAACCAAAAUAAUGUUAUCUUGGCUUUUCCAUUUUUGGGGUUUUCAUGAUAUUCUUUGUAGGGUCUAAAUUUCUUAUUUAUACAUGGUUUCUUGUCAUAAUAUGUUUGUUGAUUAUCUGCUGGAAUUUCUCUGGACAUUUUUUUUUUUAAUGUAAUAAUGUCAAAUCAUUGAAAGCCUUCUAAAUUAGGUUGGAAAAGUUUACAUUGAAAAACUGACUAGCAGGGUAAGUCGCUUUGCAGAUAGAUAGUUUUGUAGGUGAACUUGGCUAGGAGUUUAAAUAUUCGAAAGUUUUCGACUAUCUACCUUGUCCCAUUGUGUAAGAACAUCCAAUUCAAAGAUUUUGGACAAUCACCUUAAUGCUAGCUUAUUCCGAAGGUGCGCAAUCCAAUUGUCUCACUGCCCUGUAAAUUUGUUACUAAGUAAUGCAAGUUCUAUAACAGCGAAAUCGUGUCCUUGUACCUUCCUACUUAAAUGCAAGUAAAUUAUCCAUGCUCAUGGGAUGCGAACUUCUCUAGCAAAUUUACUUUAUGGGACAAUUGUACUGACACCUCUUGAACUUUCAUGCUUUUGUAAUUAGACUUGUAAACUUUUUCUUCUUCAAGCGUGCACUCCGUCGACUUCAUAAUGUACUGUAACCAAUUCUUCCGCAAUAGUGUAAUUAAUCCUAGAUUUUUCACUCCCUCUCUCAACAACUUAAGUUUCCUAAUGGUUUCUUGUCAUGCGUCUAUGACACUGGAACUAUUGAAACUGAAGCAUUAGUAUUCUAGAAAUAAAAAAUUAGAAACAAAUCUGACAUUUUGAACCUAACCUUUUCGGCUGCAAUAAUACUAAUUGUCUUGAGAUGCUUUGUAUUUUGUUAUGAAGCAACGGAAGGAGGGAGAUAGAUUUUGACUUCACUUCAUUUUUCUCCCUUAAUGCUUCGCUUCUUUCACUUUUAUAUUUUUUACAGUAGUAUCGGAAUUUUUUAUGCUAAACACUUUGAUCCGAUAUCCAUUCAUACCCUUACUUUCAUUCGUUUCGUGUUGGUUUUAAUGACUUUCACAUCAUUACAGUGUUAUAGUCUAGGUGUACAAGACUUGUCAUCUCUCUCUGCAGAAGAAAUCCAUACACCAGGAUCAUAUUUGGUCAUAUUUAAUGGGCUGAUACUUGGGAAACAUGAGGCACCAAAGGUGUAUAUUUUUCUAUAUUACUAUCUAUGUGUGAUUAGCAUAAACUCUUUUAUCGUUCUGCUAAUGCUGUUGGCCUGUUAUUUGCAGCGAUUUGCUAAUGCAAUGAGAAGCUUGCGAAGAUCGGGUAAGAUUGGGGAGUUCGUUAGCAUUUAUGUCAAUGAUAAGCAGGUAAUAUUUUCUUAUUUUUUUCCUUCAUAAUUUAAACAUCCUGUUGCCGAUUUUUUCUUUAUACUUCGGCAGUAACUAGUCGCGUAUUUUAUGGAUUUCUUGUGUUUUGCGGCUUUCUUCAUAGGCUAUUUAGACCUUCAACUGUGUCUGUCCAAUGUAAAUUGUUUUAUCUUUUUGGCCUAUAUCCAUCAGGUUCUCUUUUACUGCCUCGCAAUUGGCAGUGUAAAUGAAUAAACAAUGAAAACAAAUUUGUUUCAUCUUGUUUUCAUUCCUCUACACUCAACUCUUCGCAAUCUUAUCUUAGUACGACCUCUUCUUUUGUCCUUCGGUGAUUUUCUAUCAAGGGUUUUUUGUCAUGCUUUAUAUGUAACAUUCACUAGACGUAUAUAGUCAUGUACUUUUACUGCUGCUAAUCUCUUCUUUUUAACUUCUACAGCACUGUGUUUAUGUCGCUUCUGAUGGUGGUCGUGUUUGUCGCCCGCUUGUGAUUGCUGACAAGGGCGUAUCAAGGAUCAAGGAGCAUCAUAUGAAAGAAUUGCGGGUCAGUGAAUUUGAAUUUUAUUAACUUCGCCAUUACUUAUUGUGUUACAUUUGAACUAUUUAUUUAGGACGCCUAACCAAAUCUAAUGCUCUAGGAUGGCCUCCGUACUUUCGAUGAUUUUUUGCGCGAUGGGUUGGUUGAAUAUCUUGAUGUUAAUGAAGAGAACAAUGCUUUGGUAAAUGACGAUCAUCUAAUACUUACGAUUUGGGUUUUUAUUUUAAAAAUUUUUUAUUCACAUUAAAGAUCUUUUAAACAAUAUUUGACAAAACUUUGAAUAGAUUGCGCUGUAUGAGCAUGAACUGGAUAAUGAUGAAUCUGGGGCAGAAAAGGAUGAUGUUAAGAGAAGUAGCAUCACACACAUUGAGAUUGAACCGUUCACCAUUUUAGGUGUUGUAGCUGGCCUAAUUCCUUAUCCUCAUCAUAACCAGUCUCCACGUAAUACCUAUCAGGUUUGUCCAGAUUUGUUUUUUAGCUAUAUCAUAAGAUUGGGAUUACCUUUCUGAUUUUAAUAUUCUUUCAUAUCAUAGUGUGCGAUGGGAAAGCAAGCAAUGGGAAAUAUUGCAUAUAACCAGGCAAGUAGAAAUUUCUUAUACUAUUUUGUCUCUUAAAUAUUUUGAGAGUAUUUAUUUCUUCUUUAAGUUUUGGUUUUACCGUCACCAAAAAGUCCUGUUGCUAUAUGACUCGGAUACAUUUAAGGUUAAGGUUUUUUUUUUUUUUUUUUAAUCAUCAUAGGUAGACUUUUAUUAGUGAAAAGUUUAGUUAUUAAUGAACAUGUUUGGAAUAUUUGGCUUGCAAACUUAUACAAGAUCUAAUAAAUCAAACAUCUCAUUGUAAAUUCAUUCUGAACCUGAUACAGAAUUAAUAAAGCAUUUAUUUUGUUUCCUUUUCUUCUUUGUAUCAUCUAAUAUUAUUCUUGAUUGCUAUACAAUAUUUUGUGAUAUACUUGUUUAUCUUACAUGAGGAAGUAAAACUUAAUUGUUUAACCUAAUGCAGCUAUGUCGAGCCGAUACUCUACUUUAUCUGCUAGUGUAUCCACAACGGCCCCUACUGACGACAAAAACCAUUGAGCUGGUUUGUAUCUCUAGCAUUGAGUGGAUAUUUUAUGCUAGCAGGCGCUAUUAGUAGAUAUGCAUCUUUUUUCUUUUUUCUCUUUUUAUUUUUUGCAGGUUGGAUACGACAAGCUUGGAGCUGGCCAGAAUGCUACUGUUGCUGUCAUGAGCUACAGCGGCUACGAUAUUGAGGAUGCCAUUGUCAUGAAUAAGGCAUCCCUAGAUCGCGGAUUUGGCCGUUGUAUAGCAAUGAAAAGGUCAUCCAUCUUUAUUCUGGAUGCUUUAUUUGGGCCCAUUUGGUACCUAGGAUUCUGUUUUGAUUGGAAAAUAUAAGAGAACGAUGUUGGGGGAGGAGGGUUCAGUAACAUCGAGGCCUUGUGAGGCGCACAAGGUUAGGAUUAUUAUAUUCGGUCGGGUCAAAUGAUCUUGUUGGGAUGGAACAAUCGAAUCCCACUCAAGAGGUUAAGAUUGAACAGCUUGGACUUUAUAAGUUCCUUUGUCUCACUGGACCCACCUCGACCCAUUGUGACCCCCUGGCACCUUUGAAUCGCUCAACCCUCCAUCUUCCCCAACAUCACUCUCUCAUCUUAUCUAAUGAUUUCAAUCCAUCUUGAAUGACAAAUAGGACCUAGAGAUUUUUAUUGUAACUCGACCUUGCUGUUGUAUUGUAUUGUUACAUUGGCAUGUUGUUGUUUCUUCAUCUUAGGUUUUUUAUAUGUGCUACAGGUAUACUGUUGUUACGGAGUCGUAUGGCCCUGAUAUUUUGGAUAAAAUUGUCAGGCCGCGCAGGAAUGUUGAUGGUUCCUUACCUCAGAAUAUGCAGGUAAGAAAUGUACUUUAUGACCAAAACAAUUUUUAAUAACGAGUCUACACAUUCUUGUCUCACCAUUGUUGAUUAUUAAGUUCCAAUGUAGACGGUUAUUGUGGUGUGCUUGUAGUUAUGUUGAUUGAAGUAUUAGUCUUAGUGUUACCAAAAUCCUUGAACCUCCCCUCCACUGCCAAAGGAACUGCGAUCCAGAUUAUGUUCCAUUUCAUGGUGGCAUUCCAAUCUGGAACGCAAUAAAUGGUGAACUUAGAAUAGCAGAAGAAACUGAAAUCUAGAUUUAAUUUGUUAGGCUACGUAGAAGAAAUGUGUCCUACAAUUUAAAUAUUGCAGAAGAAUCAUGCCUUACGAAAAAAGAGAGCUGGCUUUGAUUAGGAGAGCAAAUACUUAAUCCGAUCUUAAUGAAAGGAAAAAAACACAGAAUCUAUAUGGUAACAAAAGGUAAGUUAUUGAUUUUCUUUAUAUACGGUGAUUUGCAUUGACAUUGAAAAGAAUCACAUUACGGAUUAACUGUCCGACUAAUUCUACCCCAUGUACUACAUUACUGAGAAUCUACUGUACCGCACGUCCCUAUAGCAUACGGCGUAACACACUGUAUCCUGUUUAAGGUAACACUGAUCUGUCUAAUUUUAGAUGAUCAGUCUGUUAAGAUAAAUAAAAUUCUGAACUGAUUAAAGCAUGAUGAUUUUCUUCUCAUGAGUGUAGGAGUAGCUUUUCUCCUGUGUGUGAACACAUACACAUUAGCUGUAUGGGCACUUUUUGUCGUGUUUCCUUUGUUGAUAAGUUAAUGAGGACAGCCUUUUAGAGAAUCAUUUCUCAUGAAUGCAUGUUAUUGUCGACUGUUUAAUCACUUUGAAUUCUUACAGCUACCACUAAAUUUUUUUUAAAUUUUCCAAUAUGAUUUAGGUUACACUGUGAUGUAUAUUUUGUUAAUCGGCAUUAUUUCCACUCUGGUAUUAAAGAAGCAUGUAAUUAUCUACAGAUAUUGGAUGAGGAUGGACUUGCAGCACCCGGAGAAAUUAUUCGCAAUAAUUAUGUUUAUGUAAAUAAACAAACUCCUGUGGACAGAAAUAUUUCACAGAGAGGUGACAGGUGAGGUUUGUGCUUUUUCUUUCUUGAAAAUUGGAAAAUGUUACUUUAGUGAUUUAACAUAAAUAGCUUCUGAGAUUCUCAGAAAAUACACGGACGCACCUGUGAUUUAUAAAGGACCUGAAGGCGAGACUAUUGUAGUCGAUCGCGUAAUUCUUUGUUCAGAUACAAAUGACAAGUUAACGAUUAAAUUUAUUACCCGACAUACCCGGAGACCUGAGGUGAGUAUAUUUUCAUCUUUUUUUUUUAUUGGGUUUUUGGCUUUUUUCCCAUAUAACCCUGCAAAAUGUUUAUGCAAAUACAUACAAAUAUCCCUGCAAAGUUGGUAUUUCAAUCCAUCUCCAAUAAAGUGAUGCAUGCAACAAUAAAGAUUUUCCAAGGAAUCAAGGAUAUGCUUGCAUGCGGCAUACAUUAAAAAAAAUCCUUUUUUUAUUAUUAUUGCUUGUAGUUAGAUUAAUCUGAUCUUUUUUUUUUCUUUUUUUUUUUUUUCUUGUUCCUUACUCAUCCAGGUCGGUGACAAAUUUAGUAGCAGACAUGGUCAGAAAGGUGUUUGCGGCACUAUAGUUCGGCAGGAGGAUUUCCCUUUCAGUGAGCGGGGGAUAUGCCCUGAUUUAAUCAUGAAUCCUCAUGGAUUUCCAAGGUUUAAUUUAUUUAGUACUCGAGUAUCUUCAAAAUCUAUCCUCAUGGGAUCUCCUACCUCUUUAUUAGUGGCCUUUUUGUGCUGGGAGCUUGGGGAAAAGUUCCAUUUAAGAGCCAUACGAAGGAAGCCUUAUGCCUGUUUCAUUAAAAUCCCUGUAACAGCUUAUCACUUUGGUAGAGGCAGGGACUUCGCAUUAGACUUCUCUUUUGGGCUUAUUUGCUUAUUUCAACCUUUUCCCAUAGCAAAAGCUCUCUUCUUAGUUAGGCCGGAUAGACACUAAGCAUUUAACUUUUGAUCAAACCUAACCUACACAUUGCAAUUCGGUCAUUCUAUCCGUAAUAACUUGGUCUACUAAUUCUUUGAAUCUUUGUCACCCUUUGCCAGAUUUAGUUAAAUAUGCAUAUGAGUGUUUCGGUGAAAUUCUUAUAAGAUAGUAGCUAAUGCCAUGGAUUGGAUUUUGAAACUGUCGACUGUCUUAAGAUCUUAAGGCCUUAUCUUAAUUAGCAUGAUUUUCAGAGGUGGAGAACUCAAAGGGAAGUCAAAUUUGCCAAUUGAUUGAAUUCUUUGCUGACUUCUGAAAAUCAUGCCAGUCGAUCGAUUUCUUUGCUAAUUAGCAUGAUUUGUAGUACAAAAGAGCAUGACUUUCUUUGCUGACUUUUUUUUGUUCUGACUGUUGUAUUCUUGUCUGUAUGAAAUUAUGACUACAAUAAUUUUUUCCACCACAUGAUGGUUAAUUUCUUUGUCGGCUACUAUUGUCAUUAUUAGUCGAAUGACCAUUGGAAAAAUGAUUGAACUGCUUGGAGGGAAGGCUGGCGUAUCUUGUGGAAGAUUUCAUUAUGGCAGUGCAUUUGGUGAACCAAGCGGCCAUGCUGAUAAGGUCGAAGACAUAAGGUAAGAAUCUUCUUGAUAUUACGCAUAAAAUGUUCAAGUCAUGACCCUGUACUAAUUCCUCUGUUGAAAUUUCAGUAAAACACUUGUAAAGCAUGGAUUUAGCUACAGUGGAAAGGAUUUCCUUUACUCAGGUACACAUAAUUAUGUUAGUUCUAUGUGUCGUGCGCAUUAACCCUAGCUUUUGUUUGAUUUUCCAUUGGCCAAAAAGAACUUACGGAAAGCGUGAACUAGAGACAAAAGAAAAUAGAAAUUGCGUAUGAUUUGUUCUAUAGAGAUCUUAUGUUCAUUGAAAAUCCUUGAUAUUUUUUUAGACUAGCUUUUGUAAGAUGAUCUAAUGAAUACCAAAUUGAAAUUACUGAAGUCUUUUAUCAUUUUUUUGUUUUAUGCGCUUUUUGUUGCCUAAUGCUUUGUUUAUUUGAAUUGUUUAUAUUUUGGUUUGGUAUUCCAGGCAUUACAGGGUAUCCUCUUCAAGCUUAUAUAUUUAUGGGGCCGAUCUACUAUCAAAAAUUGAAACACAUGGUAUAAACUUUUCUAUUUCACUUUUACCUUUUAGGUCAUUUUAAUUCCAAAUAGAUUUGUUUUGUUUUGCUACUAACUGAUAAAUGUACUCGCCCUUGGCAGCAACAAAUGAUAUAGUCGGGCAAUUAUUUCGGGACUGUUUAUUCUAGCAAUUACAUCGCCAUCGACCACCAUUGCUAUUUGGACUGUUGAGUGCUUCAAAAUAUUCACGGAAUGUUAUGUCUGUGUCGGACCUAGGAUUUUUGGAUUCUGAAUGAGACCUUAAGUUUUUGUUUAUUAAAAUAAUUUGGCAACAGCACCAAACAAGGCCAUAAAUUUCUUACUCGUACACUCAAUCAUAUAGUCUUUGUUUAUUAAAAUGGAAAAGCAAACAUUGCCGUAAAUUUCUCGACAGGAUUAGUUGUUAGUAGGCUGUAUUUGAUGUUGAUUUAGUUAGUAGUUCUUUUCAGCUUCUUUUAAAGGAGGUUCUAAAUAUUUAAUUUGAUCUUAUUCAUCCCGUACAUUUCUUAUCGUUUUUUAAUUGGUUAGGUGCUUGACAAGAUUCAUGCUCGAGCUAAAGGGCCGAGAGUGACGCUGACCAGGCAACCUACCGAAGGGAGAAUUCGUCACGGAGGUUAGUUUCGUCGACCAUUCCCUUCUUCUAAUAUAUGAUCUUACGCGUACACAUGAUUGCCGGUAGUGUUCUAAUUAUAUUGCGCUCGAUCCUACAGGACUUCGUUUGGGAGAGAUGGAACGGGAUUGUUUGAUAGCAUAUGGCGCGAGCAUGUUACUAUUCGAACGUCUAAUGUUAUCUAGUGACCCUUAUCAAGUUCAGGUUGGGAAAAUCAUUUUCGAGUGUUUUUCCUUUUAAUUCAACACCUGUAUACAUGUUUUUUUUCUUUUUUUAAAUUUUUGUCACCUUAACUGCAAAAUGUUUGGCUCUAGGUUUGCCGCAAAUGUGGAUUGCUAGGUUAUUACAACUACAAGCUGAAGAAAUCCUUUUGUUCUAUGUGCAAAAAUGGGGAAAAUAUCGCUACCAUGAAACUCCCUUAUGCAUGCAAGCUUCUUUUUCAGGUAGUACUGCUUCCGAACCCUUUUAAUAUUCGCAAUCCUGUUUGCUCUUAUGUUUGUAGCAUGAAAUAUUAAACUUUAUUAUUUUAAAAAUGCGUUCAUUACCAAUGUAGUUCUUGGAGCUUAUAAUCUUAUUUCUGUUUUGACAAUUUAGUCCUUGUAGUUUGUUGCUCUGCUAAUCCAUCAUUUAGUUUAUGUGGUUGUUGAACAAUUAUAUUGAGAUAAGCAAUCCCAAAACCUCGAUUUUGGAAGCGGAAACUGUUCGUUUUACUAAAACUUCUUUGAGAAAGUGUAUCACAGAAUCGAAGCUGAUAAUGUCGAUUUUCCUUUUAUUUUUUGAUUGUCUCCAGGAGUUGCAGUCGAUGAACGUCGUUCCACGUUUGACGUUGACGGAAGCAUGAUUUCUAUGACGUUGAUUGGACGAGGCAUACAUUUUUGGCGAUAAAGUUGAGCUGCGACGUACUGAUCGUAGUCACAAGUUCGAUGUUCGAGACCACUUCAGCAAAGUUGAAAAAAGAAGUUUUGAAUACAUAAAUAUAUGUACAGCAAAAAUGUUUCUGCGGACAAAAACUCUGAAACUUGUUAUUCAUGACCCUUAACGGAAACGAAAUUGUAAUUCGUUUGCUGAUGAGUAAUCUGUAAAAAUCUGCUAAAUUUUCAAGGGGUAUAGAGAUUACUAACAAUUUUCUUGCCCUUUUCGUGGCUAAAAUGUCCGAGUGUUUGCAGAUUAUCCAACCUUGCACUUUACCCUUGAAAAUCUUUAUUUUAUCACAAGGACGUAUUAUUAAAUAAAAUAGCAAAGUGAUAUUUCUUUGACAAAAGAUUGGUAUAUAUAUAAUAUUGGGUUAAAUGCAUACAGGUUUUUGCAAACAUAAUAAAUUGCAAAUAUAUUUUUACAAAGUUCAACUUUUUUAUAUUGUUCCUACAGAAGUUCUAAUAUUUUCAAAUAUGUUCGUCUGAUUUAUUACUGUUAGAGAAUUAUUUAUAUUUUAAUCGCAAAUAAGUGAAAUGUUGAUUUUGCCCUCAUAAAUAUGUUCUUCCAAAAGUUAUAGUAGUAUAAUAUAAGAGGGAUAAAAAUAUUAAGUUAUCUUAUAAACUAAUUAGGGUUAAGUAUGUAACUUAUGGUUAACCAAAAUUUUCUAAUAGAUUGUAACGGUAGAGAUAUAUUUGAAAACAUUAGUACUUUUAUAUGAGCAACAUAUGAAGGUUGAACUUUGUACUUAGUAUAUGUUCGUAAUUUAUUAUGUUUGCAAGGACUCGUAUGCAAUUAACCCUAUAACAUUGCACUCUCCUAUAAUUUACACUGUUGCCAUCCUUUUGUCUUAGUGGAUCAUCAUUUAUUACAAGGUUGUUUAAUUUAAAUUGUACAAUUUUUGGCAAGUUGAGGGACCAGAAAUUAAUUUUCAACACUCAUAAAAUUCAGUUUUUAGAUUGUUUAGCAUGAAAAUAAUGCAUUCUGAUCCAAGCACAUAAUAGUAAUAAUGUUAUAAUAUCCAAUAUUUAUUGUGUCUGGAUUAGAAUGUAAUUUGCUAAGUGUUCUAGUUCCAUGAAGGAUAUCAUAUUUCGCAUAUUAAUAAUAAAAUCUGCAAAUUAAAAGAUGAUUAAAAUAGAUUAAUUCUUAUAGUACAUGAUGAACCUUGAUUAUUAUAUUUUGUGUUUGGUCACCUACAUUGAAGGAAGUUUGGGUUGCCACCGCCAAUAGACAUGAGGGAUUUCCUUAGAAACUGAAUAUUAAUAGGUACAUAGAAAGGAUAAACUUAAAUUUGUUUACUAGUGGUUUAACUCCUUUUUAUUUUAUCAUUUUAUGGUUUAAAAAGUUAUCCUUAACUACAACAUGGUUUAGUGUGACGCCCCGACUUCCCAGGGGGUCACCCAUCCUAGGACCACUCCCGUCCUAGCACGCUUAACUCUCUUAACCUCUUGGGCCUUCCCACCAUCCAAAAUGCUUAAGCCGGGUUAAGAGUUUAGCCCUAUUAUAUUUCAUAUAUAGGACUAUCUUGGGUCUCACAUUUAGCUUAUUUUUACUUUACCACGAAAUGAUUCAAAAGUUAUACAUAAUUAACUUGUGGUUAUAAAAAAAUUUCACUUUACUAUCUUAUUUCAUAGUAAAUUUUUUGCAUAAAAAUAGAGAUAAAAUUAUAAAUAAUUAAGUGUAAAUUUUGAACCACAUAGUUGCAAAAUAAAAAUGAGCUAAAUCACAUGAGAGCAAAUUAAAAUUUACCUUAAAAAAAAAAUACUAACUUUACAAUCCAAAGGGAUUGUAAUCCUACAAUCCCUUAUCCAUUCAAGGCGUUGUAGGAUUGACCAAUCCUCUCUUAGGUUUUAGUUAGUUACAUAAAAAAAAGAAAAAAAAGAAAAAAAAGACGAUAAGACAAGGAGGAAAAAGAUUUUUGGAUGAUAAGAGUUGUUAAAAAGUGUCGUAGACUAACAAAGCUUAAAAAAAAAAAACCAAGGAUAAACUUUAGAUUGACCCUGUGAUUUAGCUCAUAUUUAAUUUGGGACUCCAUAUUUUAAAAAGUUGCAAUUCUACAUUGCAGUUUAAUUUUAUUGCACCAAAAAUUUUAUGCAAGUAGGAUGACAAAAUAAAAAAAUUAAAAAAAUUACAGAAUGACAAAAUAAAAAAUAUCCUAAACUAUAGGAGGACAAAAUGCGAUUUUUUUUGAACUACAAAAUGACAAAGUGAAAAUGAACUAAACCACAAGAGGCAGAAUACAAUAUUUUAAAUCGCGGGGCAACAAAAUAAAAAUGAACUAAAUCACAAAGAGGAUUUACAACCGCUGUAUUUUAAGCCGCAUAUAUUUUAACUAUACUUUAUUUCUAAUUAUAUUCGAACCAAAGUGUGAAUGUAAAUUAGAUUUUUUUAGCUACAUGUCAAAUUCAAAAUCAACAUCAAACAGAGAGAAGUAAAGCUAAGCUCGGUCCACAGUGUGGCCAAUUGAUGUGGCGUAGUUUGGUAUUUUUUGAUUAAAUUAAGGAAGCGACUUGAAGUCAUCGUAUUGACGAGGAAAAAAACAAAGGAAGUCAUCGCGUUGCCCAGGGAAAGAAAAUAAAAUAAUAAAAAAAUAAAUCUGGGCUGAAAAAGGAUUUUUUUAAAAAAAGAUAAAUUUGAUUUUCACCUUUAUGAUUUAGUAUAUUUUAUUAUGAGAAAUAUUUUGGAACCCUUGUGGUAGGGUAUUUUUCUAUAUUAUUAACUAUAUUGUAUUUAUAAUUAUAUCCCACCAAAAUUAUCAAAUCAUUUCUAUUAAAUGUUGCCUACAAUUUCUUUAUCUAAAUAGUUAUAAGAAUAGAGCUGUUCAAUUCAAAAUCAGCAUUAACCAGAUACAAGGAAGGGUAGAUAGAUAGUGUGGCCCAUUGACGUGGCAUAGCUUUGAUUAGAGCACAUAUGAUCUACAACAUGCUAUUAUUCUACUUCUAUCUAAAAUAAAAAAAAAUUGUAAUUGAAUACGACUAAAUCAAUACAACACUCUCUGAGUGUAAAUGGAACCCAAAAUUUUCUUAGAUAUGGAAAUAUUGGUAGAGCCGUUCAAUUCAAAAUCAUGAUCAAAGCGGGGCUUGAUAGAUAGUGUGAUCCACUAAUGUGACGUAGUUUUGGUUAGAGCUUAUGAUUCACAACGCACAAAUAUUCUUUUUCUCGCUCUCAAAAAAAAUUGUGAUCAAGUAAUUAACAACUACAUCAAUCCAAACACUCUCUUAGCAUAAAUGGAAUCUAAAAUUUUCUUAGCUGAAAAUGUUAGUAGAGCUGCCAAUUCAAAAUCACCAUCAAAGUAGGGUUUGAUAGACAGUGUGACCCAUUGACGUGCCGUAGUUUUGGUUAGCGCUUGCGAUGCAUAACAUGUAAUUAUUCUCUUUCUUUCUCUCUCAAAAAAAAAAAAAUGUAAUUGAAUAAUAACCGCAUCAUUCCAAAUAUGCAGUGUAAACGGAACUCAAAAUUUUCUUAGCUGAAAAUAUUAGUAGAGCUGUCCAGUUCAAAAUCACGAUCAAAGCAGGGUACGAUCAAAGCAAGGUUUGAUAGACAGUGUGACCCAUUCACGUGGCGUAGCUUUGGCGUUUCUUGAUUGAAUUAAGAAAGCUACUUCUUAAUUGAGAUGUCCAGCCCAAAAUCAUUAUAAAAAAACAUAUACAAAGCACAAUAGUCAAGUGGGGUUGAUAGGGAGUGUGGCCCAUUAACUAAGGGGCGUUUGGAUGGACGAAUCUGUAAAUUAACGUAACUCAAGUGCAGUGGUGUUUGAGUUUUUCUGAAGUGUGAUUAUUCUUUUGUUGUUUAUUUUGACGAAACUCGUAUAAUUUGAAAGUUAAAUACAAUUACUUUUUUCUGUUUAUUUUAAUGUAACUUGAUGUUGGUGAAAUUAGUUUUUUUAGUUUUAUUGUUUGUUUUGAUGUAAAUAAGUGGAUCCCGUUAUCUUUUGAAUAUAGUGGUAAACAUACCGCUAUAAAAUUUAACCUAUUAAAUAAUUAAAAUUUUUAUUAUUAUUUAAAGGUAAUGCUAAUUUAUUAUAAAUAAGAUAAUUCUAAUCAUUAUAAAGGAAGUAGAGUUUAAGUUUUAUUAUUUAAUAAAUUUGUUAGAGAAGGUUGAGUGUGGCGGAAGUCAAGUUCGGCACUUUAGAGGGUUAAAGUGGAAAUCUAACGUAACUUGAGUUACACCAUAUUUUUGAUUUACACCAAAAUAAAUACCGAAAAUAAUGGAAUUUGAGUUCUACCCAUCCACUCACACCAAAACAAACGGCCUCUUAAAUGUGUUGCAUGUAGCGGCGUUGUGUCUAUUGUUUUUUUUUUUUUUUUUUGGAUGAACUCUAAAUUGCCAUCGUGUGGUAUUACAUAUUUUACUCCCUAUAUAUGGAUGAAGGUAGAAUUUGUGACGCUCUAUUUUUCAGAAGAGUCACCCAUUCUAGGAGUACUCUAUUUCUAGCACAUUUAACUUUAUUAAUUUUUUAGAUCUAUCCAUCAUCCAAAAUGCUAUAUCUUGAUUAAGAGGUUUAGGCAAAUUCUGAGAGUGUCACAUUUUUUUUCCUUUUAAGUCCUAACUUUUUUAUUUACGUCAUUCAUAAGUAGCUGACGAUGUGAGACUUAUCUCGCUAGCCUCAGCCGAGCUUGUGGAGAGUUGCGCUCUAUCCGCUAUAUGACCCUAGCUUAGACUCAUCUUACACUUCUAGUUGGUGAUUGGCUCUGACAUCAAUUGUGACGCUCCACUUUUCAGGGAGUUAUAUAUUCAUCAUAGAACUAUUUUAACCAUAUUACACUUAAUCUUUUUAAUCUCUUGGGCCUAAAUACUGUCCAAAAGAGUAUAGCCGGGCUAAGAGAUUUAACCACAUUAUAUCUUAUAUAUAGAACUAUUUUAAAUCUUAGAGGUGUCAUAGAAUUUUUUAGCGAAUAUCAUAAGAGAAAAUGUAAUAAAAACUUUUGUUGCAGCUAUCAUCACUUUAUUUAAUAAAAAAACUUUAAAAUUUUAUAUUCUUGAAUGAUUUUUAUUGGUGAUAAUUAUCUCCCCAACAUACGUAGCUAGAUAUUUUAUUUGACAAUAAAAAUAAAAUCUUAAGAAAACUUUAUGUUGCCUUUUAAUUUUGUUUAAAUGAUAUUUCAUAUUUGAUAAGGAUACAGCAUAAUCUAACAAAUAAAUAUAUGAAUGAAAAAAAUUGUCUAUCAAAACAUUCUAUAAUAUAAUUUUAUUUGCAAACAAAAAAGUUAAAAUUGGAAAGAAAUAAGAUGAUCAGCAGGCUAGCCACUAUGCCACAUGAGUUGUAUUUUAUUUUGGGUGAUCAAUUUUAUCAAAUUGGCAAAAAAUUAUGAUAGAAUAAAAAGAGAAAAGUGCAACUAUGGCUAUUUUGAAAUAACCUCCUGAUUUAUGAUUUUUUUUUUUUAUUGAGAUCCCUGCACUUUUUUUUUUUUGGGAAUUGAGUUAUUUUAGCUAAAUAAAUUAGAUAUUUUACCAAAUUGAUUUAUAAUUUUAUCAAAUUUAUAAUUUAACUACUUUGAACUUGUAGUGAAUAAAAUUAGAUUAAUUAAUUAUAAUUUUUAUUUAAAGAGUGUAACUUUCAUCUUAAAGGGUGCAGUUUAUAUCUCAAAGAGUGCGACUUACGUCUAUAAUAGUAGAACGUUCUUCUAAAAUAGUGUAAAUUUAUUUUAACGGUACAACUUUAUCAUCUUCUUUCUUCUUCUCUAGUUCUUCUUCCUUAUUCUAUAGUUUUUGAUUUUUAGUUAUUUUUUUUUUUUGUUUUAAGCAAAUAGAAGUGUUUGACCAGAGAUGCUCCCUUCCACCCCCUGCUCCUUUCGCCUUCGACCUCGCCAAGGCCACGCUCGCUGCUGCCAUCUGGGAUGCCACGCUCGCCGCUGCCCCGCCCUCUUCUCUGGCGUCGUCACGCUCUCCUUCGUCUCAGCAUCACUCGUUGGCGGCCUCGGGUGGACGCGGUGGGUCGCGUGCCUCCUCGCUAGCGAGCUUCUUGGCACCGAGAAGCAUUUCCUUUUCGUCGUCGACGGCGGCGGCGGUGAGGGCGGCGGGUUUCUAGAUGUCACGCCCCGGGGCCGAUUUUAAAAGCCUUUUAAAAACAGAAUUGCGGAAAACGUACCAUUUUUUUUUUUCAACCUCGCCCACGCGACGUACAUAGCCGCCACAAAUACAAAGUUCCUCUGUACACUCGGACAGAGUCUCCUUUGUAUUUGCACGGCGUACCAGCUAUACAAUAGGAUCUCAACCACAACCUACAUUUACCAAUCAACAACCAAAGCAUGAUAUGCAUUUCCAUACAGCUAACAAUCCUUAGAAUGAUGCAUGCCUCUAAGCACUCCUUAGGCGCUGGAUGAUGCAAUGCACAAUACAACAAACAUCCUAUUUAAAAGUGCUCCCCACACGGAAGCUUUUGUUUUUAAACUCUAAUUCAAUCAUUCAUAAAAACCAUUCGAAAACCUUUUUAAAACUGUUUCCCACACGGAAACUCUAUUUUGAAAACCGACUACCUCGAGGGGUAGAAAACCACGAUGCAUAACUACAAGAAAACCAAAUCUCCACAGAACCAAAACCACAGAUCGAAAACUCCAAUCUCAUGUAUAAAAGAAACCAACACCACAGUUCACAUACAUUCAAGCAUACAUAAGAUCAGCUAACUGAACCAUUAUUAAGAAAACUACUAAGUGCGGGAAAGAAAUAACCAGGGUGACGGUCGCUACUGCCGUCUAGCUAGAUCGUCCUCUCGUCGAGCCCAAAAUCCAACUCCUCGUCUCUGUCACCUGGGGGGGGGAAAGGGGGGUGAGAAACCGCAACCAUGGUUUUCUCAGUGGGUACGACAGAGCCACGAAGGCAAGUCGUAAUCACCGGAAACCAAAGGAGAUAGAUAAACAAGUAUAUAUCUGUAAGCUGAUAUGAAAUAGAACUACAGUAGCUACAACAGAUAAAUAGGAAGCAAUAAAUAAACCUGCUACUGUAUAGAAAACAAUGCAAAGAAUGCCUCAAUGUACUGAACCAGAAACUGUACCCAAUCUGUGCCUGCUGUAUUGGUCCGCAGACCUCAAGCGCUGCCUGUCACUAACUGCACCGACCUGAUCCAUCCGCCCCGCAGGACGACCCAUCCGGAUAAGUACACCUCCGAUCGGUGGCCAAACCGAUCCGGUGUCAUGAAUACCCCCAAGUGCCGUGACUAAGUCAUGCUGGUAUGCUCAAACAAAAACAAACCCGGCUAAAGCCGGUGCCUAGGCCGAAGCCAACAACGAGGGCGUACAAUGCCAAACUGAAAUAGAAGCUAGGGCGUACAACGCCGAACUGAAUAGAUGCUAGGGCGUACAAGGCCGAACCUCGAUCAACCAGAUCGAAACACACGACAAGAAAGUCGAUGUGUUGCCUGGACCCAAGGUCCACUGAAAUACGAAUGCAGCCUGCUCUACAUGUCUAUCCACAACUAUACAAUGCAAUCAAGGGGUGCGAUAACCAAACGAUAACAAGGAAUGACAUGUAGAGACUAAAUACAGGAAUAGAAAAAUAGGAGAAGGAGGUGAAACGCUCUCACCGACUACCAGCUUGAAGCACCCACCUGUCACUGUCGCGUCGGAACACUGGGUACGCACAAGUCGACCGGACCUACGAAGAUCCCAUGGGUCAGUAACCAACCCACUCACCUGAAGUACACUAUCUCACAAACCCCACACAGAACCCCGUAUCGGUUUCCCAAAACCGAUCAUCGUAACUCACCGGAAGUCCCGAAAAACACACCGGGACGCCGUCGGGACCCACUAAGUGUCCCGAACUCACCGACUCGUGCCACGAGUCACCCGCUGCCCCAAAGCACUCCAAUUUGUAUGCCUUGGCAGCAAACACGAGGUAACACAACAAUACGAUCAUCGCCGGAUAAUCGUACGAAUCCGGAUUCCCGGAAGUGUCUAUUUCGACACCGGAACCCACCGUCGCUCACCUAUCAUCAUCGAACCCACAAAGUGAUGAUGGUGACCAGCCAACAAGGCUCAGCGACAAAACACGAAGCAACCAAACACAGUCGGAAAGAAUCCGAACCGAAACCGCGUUCUUUCGGCGAAUUUCGUCGAAAAACGCACCGAAAUCGACCUACCGAUUUCCGCGAAAGCUAACGGACCAUGGACAAUCAGUCCAGCGAUCAUAACAAACUCCCACACACUGCCCACAGUAGCCACGCAAAGCACAAUUGCAUAAAAGACCCUUUAAUUACAUAAAAUAUCAUCAUUUUAUGUAAUUUGAGCGAUCAAGUGGCUCGUUCACGCAAACCGAGGACUUCCGAAGUCCGCAGAGACACGUACUGACAGGUCUCGACGUACAGGAGUCCGUGCUCAUGAUCCGGAGCACAGCGGCUCGCUGUGGGAAGCGCGGGAGCAACCCGAAGGUUCAGCGAAUAGCGCGCAGUCAGGGAAGAUCGCGCCGUACAGAACUAACCGGACACUUCUGAUCCAAGGGAAGGUGAGCAUUGUGAUCAGCACUGACCAACGAUCACCGUGCUCACCUCCGGAGGCAUCAGGACAGCCUCGGAUCGCCGGAUAAGCGUGCGCAAGCCCAAAACAGCAGCCAAAAAGGCUGAAACGGAGCGACAUCGCCAAAACAGCGGAACGGGGCCUUCCCGACAGAAACCAAGGUGAGCACGAUGAUCAGCAACUUGCCAGGAUCAUCGUGCUCCCUUCCGUGGAGAUCGGGGAAGCUCGGGAAGCCCAGAACAGUAGGCCAUCCCACAAAAGCCCCAUUUCGGGCUUGGCCGGAGCAAGCUUGCUCCCGCCGGCUUCCGGCGGCACGGCAGCGCGCGCGGAGGCCAGGGAUGGGUGCGGGGGAGGAGAGGAGUGAGGUGCUCAGCUCAGACAGCGGCUGGAAGCGGCGGCGGCGACGGCGGGGCAAGAUGAGCCCGCACGGGCUAGGGCACGGGUUCCAGGAGUUGCUACGGCCACGGCGGCGGCAGGGGAGCUCCGGGACGGCGAAGGCGGGCUGCAGGAGGUCGGGGAAGGGCGGCACAGGUGGCUCAGGGUGGCGGCGGCGCGAGGAAAGGAGCCGCACACAGCUCGGCUCGGGCUCGGGUUGGGCGGCUGCAGCCGGCCGAGGCGGCGGCGGCGGCGCGCUGGGGCGGCGGCGACCGGCGGGAAGGGGCGCCCGGGCACGGAGGGUGUCGGCGGGAGGGUUUCCAGGCGGUGGCGGCGCACAGGCAGCUGGUGCAACCCAGCUCGGCUUGAGCUCGGCCUGGGCUGCUGCAGGCGGCUGGAGCGGCUGCGGCGGCGCAAGCGACGGCGGGUAGGGUCGUGGAGGGUCGCCGGAGCACGGGCGACACCGAGGAGGGUCGAACGGUGCGCAGUCUCGGGUCUCCUCACAACCGAGAGGAGCAGAGGGAGAGGAAGAGAAGGAAGAAAGAUGGGUGAUGGCUCGGCGCGGCCGGGGCUCAGCGCGCGGCGCGCCGGGGUGGAUGCACAGGGGCAGUUGAGGAAGGUAAGUGGUGGGCGACUAGGGUAGCUGGGGGGUGGCUAGGGUUAGGGUUAGGGAUCAAAACCCUAGGAACUAAAAAUACCAAGGUGUUACUUUGCAAAAGGUCACCAAACACAGGAAUUUCAAUCUGAGAUCCUCACAGUACGACUAAAACGCGAAGAACGCCCCUCCACGUGCAUUCCCUCGCGAAACGGAUUACAUAAAAAUAUCGCGACUUUCGCGAAAAUACCGGUUUGUAACACCGACCUCAUCCUCGAUCAAGCGCGAUCUCCGCAGAUCCGUCCGUCAGAUUUGCGAACGGAUUGCACCAGUGCGAUCAGCACGACGGAGACAACAAAGCUGCGCGAUUCGUUUCGUCUUGUCGACCACGGAUUCACGACAAAAUCCAACUUUCUUCGAAUAGAAGAAACACAAUUAAAAUACAUAUAAAACAGUUAUUUUGGAUUUUCUCGAAAUCCGUGCGUCAAACUCAAAAUCCGUCAGCGUCAGUAGUUCCAGAACAGCUGACCCGGUUGAAACGAGCUAUUGGACUGCUAUGAACAGAGUCCGGUACGAGCCAGAAGCCAACUUCUCACCGCGGUUUCUCCGGAAAAUCGAGUUACUAUUCACCUUAAGUGAAACUUGAAAAUCGCGUAGAAUUUCCGUUUUAACUCGUUUUCGCCCGAAACUUGACGAGUGCUUUUGUAAUUAAAUUACACACAAAAACAUCGUCAACUGAGAGUUUAACUACACUGCAAAAAUCUCAGUCCUUACACUAGAGUGGAGAUGAAGGUGGAGGUGAGUCGCGAAGAGCCACGGAGGCGGCGGAGGAGGUUCGGAGAGAAAAAUAAAAAGAGAAUCACGGCGCAGGCUUGGCGGGGUCGAAGGCGAGGAGGGCGGCGGGUGAGUGGGCGCGAGCAAGGGUGCAUGGAAUGGACGCGAGGAGGGGCGUCCCAAAGGGCAGCGACGAGUGUAGCCUUGGUGGGGUCGGAGGCGAGGAGGGCAGAUGGUGCGCGGACGCAGGCGAGGGCUCGGGGGCCAGAGGCGAGGUGGGCCGCCUCCGCCUCCGCCUCGGAGAGGAAAAAAAAAGAACGAGAGACGAAUACAGAAGAGAGAGAAAGGAAUAAGAGUAUUUUGAUCAGUUUUCUGAAAAUUCGGCCUGAAUUUGCAAAAUCGAAAAAGACAGCCCAAAUUUGCAGAAGCUCAAAACUGGUGAAUUUUUUUUUUUUUAUGCAAAUUGGCCUAUAUAUAUAUUAAUUAAAAAAAUAUAUUUUUUAAUUAAAAAAAUAUAUGGGAGGAUAUCCGUGGGUAUCUGUAGGUUACACAAAAUGCCCACAGCUUAAUGGGCAUCUACUCGUUUUAUCUGUAUUUUUUGAGUUGGAAAAGUUGGCACUCGUACCUGUAAUUGCAGGUAACCCGCUGGUAUGGGUCGAGAUUGCGAGGUCUAGUAUAUACAAUCCUGUAUAUCACAGAAGAGGGAAAAGAAGAAGAAGAAGAUAAUAAGAUCAAACCAACAUGUUUGAGCCCCAGCGAGAACGUAUGGACUUUGAGUUGCUCAAGGUGUUGAGGAGAGAGGACGAGAUAUUCGUUAGAUAAUUCUUCUCGCAGGAUACAAAAUCUUCUGGAAUUACCUUCGAACUCUCGCAGGAUACGAAAAAUUUGCAAAUUCAAAGAUGAUUAUGUUGGUAGCCGAAUUCCCUGACCUUUGACCCAGUCAAAGAUCCUCCUUGAGGAGCGUGUCGGGAUGAAGAACGGCUUGGGAUGGUGACCCUCGAAGUUUGUGCCCUUCUAUUGAUCAAGCGAUUCGGCUGAUAAGGGAUCGGAUCAGCCGGGUUCGAAAGCUCUAUACUAAAUUCGGUUCAGCUGGAUGAGCCGAAUGUACGAACCAAACAAGAACUGAAGUCGGCCAAAGAGUCGAAUGACUAAAGAACACAGGAAUUUGUCGGCUUGAAGAGCCGAAGGCCUUUAUAUUAAUUGGUAAGAAGUACAGGGGUUGAGUGUGCCGAAUGGCAUGCAGACUCGGUUGAUUUACUUAAUGUACUACUCCUAGGAAGAACAGUAAAUGCGGGAAAGUAAAAGUUACAAGUAGACUACUCCUAGAAAAUGCAGAAAAUUGCGAGAAAAUAAGGGCGGUCUUUUGUUUGUAAAAAAAAAUCCCUUUUUAGGACGUUAUUGACCUAUUUAUAGAUCGCCCCUUGUGAUCAGUUAUUAUCUAUGCAUGAUCGGCCACUAUUCCUGAUUUUUCGAGCAAUUUUCAGCCCACUUUCAGCCUAUUGGAACCGUUUGCAACUGUUUGCGGUUAUUGUAACCUCCCUUAAUUGGCGCGACGGUUUGUUCUUUAAACCCUUUCAGUGCUCCCGGUGUACAGCAAGAUUGAUGCUUUUGAAUGGAAUAUCGGCGUACCAUCUAUCCGCGCCUAAUUGGCUCAACAGAUUAAAAUAGGCUGAUUCUUAUAGUAUAUUAUAAAUUUUGGUUACUAUAUGUUGUGUUUGGUCACCUCCAUUGGACAUGAGGGACUUUCUUAGAAACAGAAUAUUAAUAUUAGGUACUUAAAAAAAGGGAUAAACUUGAAUUUGCCCUCAUGUGGUUAGCUCAUUUCUACUUUACCAUAUUGUGGUUUAAAAAUUUACAUUUAACUAUAAUGUAAUUUAGAUUAGUUUCACUUUGGCAUCAGUUAUACAUAAUUAUUUUGUGGUUAUAAAAAAAUUUCGCUUUGAAAAAAUUUUGCUUUGCUAUCUUAUUUCAUAGUAAAUUUUUUGAAUAAAAAUAGAGAUAAAAUUAUAAAAUAAUUAAGUGUAACUUUUUAAACCAUAUAGUUGUAAAGUAAAUUGAAGUUUAUCUUAAAAAAGAAAAAAAAAAUCUUCAAUCCAAAGGGAUCGUUAUCGUACAACCCUUAUUCGUCCAAGGGGUCGUAGGAUUUACCAACCCGUUAUUGGGUUAUAGUUAGUUAAAAAAUGAAAAAAAGAAAAUAUGACAAAGAAAAAAAAGGGUUUUUGGGUAAGAAGAGUGGUAACAUUGCAAAGUCCGAAAAGUGUUGUAGACCUAACAAAGAUUAAAAAAAUAAAAAACUAGGAUAAACUUUAGAUUGACACUAUGUGAUUUAGCUCAUAUUUAAUUUGCGACUCCAUAUUUUAAAAUGUUGCAGUUCUGCCAUUGCGGUUUAAUUUUAUUUCACCAAAAAAUUUAUAUAAGUAGGACGAUGAAAUAAUUAAAAAUGUUUAAGAAAUCACAUGAUGAUAAAAUAAAAAAUAUACUAAAACACAGAAGGACAAAGUGCAAACUUUUGAACCAUAGAAUGACAAAGUAAAAAUGAAUUAAACUACAAAAGGCAAAAUGCAACAUUUUAAAUCAGGGGAUAACAAAGUAAAAAUGAACUAAAUCACAAAGAGAGUUUACAACUACUGUAUUUUCAACCGUAUAUAUUUUAACUAUACUGUAUUUAUAAUUAUAUUUAAACAAAAUGUGAAUGUAAUUCUGAAUUUUUUUAGCUAUAUAAUUAUCAGAGCUGUCAAAUUCAAAAUCACCAUCAAACAGAGACAAGUAAAGCUAAGCUUAGUCCACAGUGUGGCCAAUUGAUGUAGCGAGUUUGGUGUUUUUUGAUUAAAUUAAGAAAGCGACUUGAAGUCAUAGUUUGUGUUUUUUGAUUAAAUUAAGAAAGGGACUUGAAGUCGAGGUAAAAAAAAAAAAGAAAAAAAAAAAAGAAAAAUAAAAAGAAGAAAUCACCGCGUUGACGAGGGAAAAAAAAUAAAACAAUAAAAAAAAAUCUAGGCUGACAAGGGAUGAAAAAAAAAAAUAAAAAGCUAAAUUACAGAAAAUCUUUCUGUCAAUUUCACUUUCUUCCUUGUUAUUCAAAAAUUUACACUUUGACCCCUUAUAAAAUAAAACUGUGACAAAAUAAUCAAAUUGUCCUCAUCUCUUUAGGUUGGGUGUGGAUGGAGAGGUGGGCGAGGGUGAGGCGGCGGAUGCCGGUGAAGGUGUGUACGAGUAGGCGAGGGUGAGGCGGCGGAGGGCGAGGCGGCGCGGCCAAGGUCGGUGAGGAUAGAUGAGGGUUUUAAGGGUAUUUUGAGUAUAAAAAAUAGGAUAUAAAUGGAAUCCUAACGGAACACUAACGGUAGAGGUCAAAGUGAACAUUUUUUAUUUUACAAAGGAACAAAAUAUAGGUUUUUGAAUGACAGGGAGAAAAGUGAAAAAUCGGGUAUUGACAGAAGAAUUUUUAUAAUUUAGCAUAAAAAAAAAGUAAAUUUGAUUUUUACCUGCUUGAUUUAUUAUAUUUUAUUAUGAGAAAUAUUUUGAAAUCCUGCAUUUGGGUACAUUUCUAUAUUAUCAUCUAUACGAGCAGAGGUGUUCAAUUCAAAAUCAUCAUCAAACAGAUACAAGGAAGGGUAGAUAAAUAGUAUGGCCCAUUGAUGUGGUACAUCUUUAAUUGAUUAUACCACUUGCGGUCUACAACAUGCUAUUAUUCUUUUGCUCUCUAAAUAAAAAAAAAACUUGUAAUUGAAUAACAAUUAAAUCAAGCAGAACACUCUCUUAGUGUAAAUGGAACCCAAAAUUUUUUAGAUAUGAAAAUAUUGGUAGAGCUGUCCAAUUCAAAAUCACGAUCAAAGCGGGGCUUGAUAGAUAGUGUGAUCCAUUCACGUGGCGUAGCUUUGGUUAGUACUUAUGAUCUCAAAAAAAAAUUGUGAUUGAAUAACAACUACAUCAAUCCAAACACGUGCGUAAAUGAAAUCCCAAAUUUUCUAAGCUGAAAAUGUUAAUAAAGCUAUCGAGUUCAAAAUCACGAUCAAAACGGGUUUUGAUGGACAGUGUAACCCAUUGACGUGGCAUAGCUUUGGUGUUUCUUGUGAUUAAAUUAAGAAAGCUACUUAGCUUGAGAUGUCCCGCCCAAAAUCAUGAUAAUAACAUACAAGCACAAAAGUUAUGCGGGGUUGAUAAAGAGUGUUGCCCAUUCACUAAUAAACGUAUUUCACGUAGAGGAGUUGUUUCUGUUAUUUAUUACUAUUAUUUUUUUGGUUGAACUUUAAAAUUGCCAUGGUGUGAUAUUACACAUUUUUAUUUUAGGGACAAUUGUUUAUAUACUUUUGAAAAGUUUUCGAUUUUUUAAUUUACUAAUCUUAGAAGGCUAAUAUUGAAAAUAUCCUUUUCAUGUUUCAACCUAUUUCAAAUAUACUCUUAGAGUUAAAAUCUGUUAAUAAACUCUAUUAUUUCUAUAAAAUUACUAUUUUGCCCUUUCAAAUAUACCCUUCUACCGGCACCGACUUUUCUUAUUUGUCCUUAAGUAAGGGGCACAAAAACUAUUUUGCUUUUUGGUCUUUUCAAAUAUACCCUUCUACAAUCACCAAUAUUUCUUAUUUGCUCUUAAGUUAAGGGCAAAAGUGACAUUUUAAUUUUUUUUAACUGUGAUAGAUAUUUAACUCACGUUUAACCCAAGUUAACUUAACGGGUAAUAACUUUAGGGGUAUUUUGGAAUAACGGACAAACAUAUGAAGGAUAUAUUGGAAAGAAAAAAAAAGUAGGAAUAAAUAAAAUAUUUUUGAAGUUUUGAGAGGUAUAUAAGCAAUUAUCCCUUUAUUUUACUCCCUGUAUAGGGUUGAAGGUAGAGUUCGUGGCACUAUUUUUUAGGGAAGCCACUUAUUCUAGGAGUAUUCUAUUUCUAACGUGUUUAACUUUAUUAAUUUUUUAGGUUUGAUCACCGUCUAAAAUAUUAUAUUUUGAUUAAGAGAUUUAGUCAAAUUCUGGGAGUGUUACAUAUUUUUUCUUUAAGUUCUGAUAUUCUUGUCAAGCUUAAAUAUAUUCACAAGUAUCUGGCGAUGUAAAAUUCAUCUCGCUAGCCUCCGCCGAGCUUAUGGGGAGUUGCACUCUACCAACAACAGUCAUCAGCCAGAGAGCCGCGCUCUAUCCGCUGUAUGAUCUUAACUCAAAUUGAUCUUACACUUUCGGCUAGUGAUUGGCUUUUAUAUCAACUGUGACGCUCCAUUUUUUAGGAAGUCACCCAUAUUUUAGAACUACUACAGACAUGUCAUGUUUAACCUUCUUAAUUUUUUGGAUCUAGACAACAUCAAAAAUAGUAUAACCAAAUUUAGAUGUUUAGUCCUAUUAUAUCUUAUAUGUAGGACUAUUUCAAAUCUUAGAGGUGUCACAGAUUUUUUAUCAAAGGAGAGUAAAAAAUGGUAAAAUCUUUUGUCGCAUGUAACAUCACUUUGUUUAAUAAAAGAAAACUUUCAAAUUUUAUAUUUUGAAUGAUAUUUAUAGUUGACAAUUAUCUCUGCAAUAUAUGUAGCUAGAUAUUUUAUUUGACAACAAAAUAUAAAUCUUAAGAAAACUUUAUGCUCGCUUUUUCAUUUUGUUUAAAUGAUGUUUCAUAUUUGAUCAGGAUUCAACAUAAUCUAACAAAUAAAUAUAUGAAUGAAAAAAAUCAUCAACCAAAACAUUCUAUAAUAUAAUUUUAAUUGUAAAAAGAAAAAGUUAAAAUUGACACGAAAUAAGAUGUUCAGCAGGCUAGCCACAUAAGUGAAUUUUAUUUUAGGUGGAUCAAUUUUAUCAAAUUGACACAAAAUUGAAAUAGAAUAAAAAGAGAAAUUGCAUGAAGACACCAUCAACUAGAGCUAUUUUCGAAAUAACCUCCUGGUUUGUGAAUUUGUUUUUCUAUUGAGAUCCCUGCACUUUUUUUUUUUACAAUUAAAAAUAUCUAAUUAAGUAUAUAUAUAUUUUUAAAAUAACUUAAUUAACCCAAAAAAAUAAAUAAAAAAUUGGAAGUUAAAGAUAGUCAAUUAAAAAAAAAAUCAAAGCGAAUUCUUUUUUAGAUUGACCAAUAGUUGAGUAGCAUCUGUAUACUUUUAUCUUAUAAUCAAAGCGAAUUCUUUUUUAGAUUGACCAAUUUCAUCUAUGCCCCAGUAAAACUUACAAAUAUCAUAAAUACCCUUAUAAAUUUGAUAAUAUCAUAAUUACCCCUUUAAAUGUCUACUUUCUUUCAAAAAUGCCCAAACAGUUAAGUCCUCACUCCUCAGUCUCUUGGUUACUUUUACUUUAGUUAGGUUAAAAUUAAAAAUGAGUUAAAGAUUGAAAUGUCUAUUUUACUAUUGACUAUUAUAAAUGGGUUUCAAAAUAAACGGAAUUUCAAAAUCAUCCCUCACUUUUUAAAUCUUCUUUGUUUAUAUAAAGAUAAAUAUUUAAUAAUAGUUUGAAUAAAUAUACUAAUAUUUAACUCAGAUCAGUUAAAUAUUUAAUUAUAAUAAAUUUUAUUUAUUUAUUUUUUUGAGAGAUAGGUAGCACGCUACCCGCUUCGUUUAUUUCAUUUAGAAAUAAACUUAGUUGGAGAUGUGAAUCAACUAGAAUUCAAACUUGGGUCUCGGGUACCAACCACCAAGUCCUUUGCCACUUGCGCUAGGGACGGUCGGUUAGCUUGGAUAAGUUAGCUUGGAUACUUAUGUUAGUUUAAAUAGUCAAAUUUGCAUUAUGCAAAAUUUUACUUAUUUUUGAAUUACAAAUUGUUCAAGCGAAUUAUUUUAGAUUAUUUAAAUAUUACAGAAUCUUUUAGUUCAAUAUUUUCGGAUUUGUCUUAGAUUUUCAGGUUUCUUUUACUUCAAUUUAUUUUAGAAUGUAAAAUUUUAAAUUCAUAAAAGUUUGUUUACAUGCUAGUUUGUUGCUAUUCCAAUUGAUUUUCUUACCUUGCAAUAUUUUUAUAGUUGUAUCAAUUAUUUUUCGUUGCUUCUUUCUAAUCUUGUACAUAAUAUUAAAUCAUUUUAUUAUUACUUCAAAUUUGAUAAGUAAUUUUAUACUACAUAAUUGAUGAUAAAGCUUUAUAAUUGUUCAAUCAAUUUAUUCUUCACUCUCUCCCUUUAUAAAAAACUAAAAAAAUUUAGAAGCAUUCAACAAAAUUUAAUAAGAUAAAAAUACUAUUAUUUUAGAUUAGAUUAUACAAAUUUUACAGAAAUCAAUAUGAGAAUCUAACUAAAUGACUUACACAGAUUUCAUAAAUAGGUCUAAAUAAUUAUAGUAAAGAUAUUUUUUAACUAAAUAUCUUAGACAAUAAGUAUGCAUGUUGCUAAAUCCUAAUUAAGAAUUUUAAAUUCGAAGGGUAUUUACAAAAGUUAUAACUUGUUAGUGAGAAUUGGAACAUUUAAAGGGACAAUUAUGAAAAAGCUAAAAUUGGUAUUUGCUUUGCCGUUAGUAUAAAUUUUAACGGAAGUUAUUUUGAAUGGCAGUUUUGAAAGUUUGUGGUAUUUAGAGGAGCAUUUAGGAAAUUUCAAAAUUUUAUAGGGGCAUCUAUGAAAAUAUAUGCUUUUGGAGGGGCACACAGAAAAUUCUUCCUAUAAAAAAUUACCACACUUCACUUGAAAGAAAGAAUGGUCGUGAAUUCUCCCAAUACAUAAAUAGUUUUUUUAGUAAAAAAAAAAAAAAAAAAGUUCUUUUGCUCAAAAACCCCUAUAUUAUUGGUCCACUCAAGAAUGCCUAAAGAACUCCUUUGUAACUUUCCAGUGCGGGGACCGUGGCCGACCUCACUCUCUUAGUUGAAAAAGUCGCAUUUUUCCUCUUCCUAUGCUUUAACUCAUUUUUACUCCACCACCGUAUGGUUCACAAAGUUAUAUUUAAUUAUCAUAUGGUUUAACGUAUUUUUCACUUAGCCAAUCUGUGAGCUUUUAUAAAUGUUCACUUUACUGUUCUAUUUGACAUGGAGUUUUUUUUAGUAAAAUAAAAAUUAAAUCAUAAGAGGAUAAAGUGCAACUCUUCAAACUAUAUAAUUAUAAAGUAAAAAUACCUUAUACCACAACAAAAGACCAAUUUAAAUUUACUUUUUCUUUUUCUUUUUUUUAUUUUUUCAUGCACUAACGAAUUUAUUUGUUUGGACAAAUAUGCGAUAAUUAAAAGCCAAUCUUGACUUUAGUUGACUACUGUUAGUAGUCAAUUAUAUAAUUUUGUUUCAGUUUCCAGUAAGUAGAAAGACCUAUGUAAUUGCCGCGGCAGUUGUAGGUGCUGAGGCAGAGAAAGCAUCAAUAUACUAUUCCGCAUCGGUCUCACAGAAGAGGAAAAAAAAGAGAAGAGAAUAAGAUCAAACCAAUAUGCCUGAGCCCCAACGAGAACGUAUGAACUACGUGUUGCUCGAGGCGUUGAGGAACGGGGCCGAGGAAGCCGUUAGAGCAUUCUUCCCGCAGGAUAAUGCCGAUGAGGCAGGGGGCAGGCGUUGGCGGGGAGUUACCGUAGGUGGAAACUCGGCCCUCCAUAUCGCGGCUGAUUUUCGGCACUUGGAGCUUGCGUCGCUGAUCUGCGCAAGAGACAGCUCCCUUUUGGUGGUGCGCAAUGCCGCGCUCGAGACGCCGGUGCACUGCGCUGCGAGGGCUGGGGCAGACCGAAUUGUAACCCUCUUUACCUGGGAAGCCUGCCGGUGUGAGGAGGCGGUGCUCCGCGCCACGGAUCGGGAAGGGAAGACUGCAUUACAUGCUGCCGCCCAAGAAGGCCAUGUGAAGGUGGCGGAAGUUUUGAUGUCUGCGGAUCCUGGGCUGGCGGCUAUCGACGACAAUAAUGGUGUAUCUCCACUUUAUGCUGCCGUGCUGUCGGGAUCGCCGAAACUUGUUCAGGUCCUGAUAGGAUCCCAUGCUGACGGAGGGGACAGACCAGAGGCAUCCUAUGCCGGACCUAACGGGCAAACUGCACUGCAUGCAGCCGCCAUGAUCAGUCUAGGCGCCGCCAUGAACGGAGGAGUGGGUAAUUGACCUUAUUUAACUCGUGCCAUUUUUUUAAAUACAUAGUUUGUUAGAAUUUGACUUGAUAUGAAGUAAUCUGAAUAGAAGUUAAAAUCCAAUUAAACUAGGAUUGCGAGUUCAAUAACAGAAAUUUAAUUGGGUUAGAUAUCUAAUUUACUACCAAUUUAUACUGGCAUCAUGUGAUACGGAUCGGAUGUAACACAUACUAGACUCUGGCACUAUAUAUCUAUGAAUCUGUACUUCUAUCUAUACUUCUAUCUAUAUCUAUAUGCGUAAAAGAAUUCUUAUAAUAAUAAACGGAAUAAAAAAAAAUUGCUCCCAACGGUUAUGAUUGGUUUAUUUAAAAAUAUAUCUUAAAUAAGAAUAAACGGUUAUGAUUAAUCUGUUUAUAUCAAUCUACAAAUCCAAUCCUAUAAACCAUUAUGAUUAAUUAUUUAAAAACAUAUCUCAAAUAAAAUGAACGAUCAUGAUCAAUCUGUUAAAAAAUAGCAUUCUUAUCCAUCUAUUUUGUAUUAAAAUUUAAAUUUGAGUCUAAAUCGUAAAUUAAAUUAAAUUAAAUUAUUUACAUCAAAUUUGAAUUAACAAUUAAAAUUUUUUAAUUACAGUAGAUCAAAAUUAAAAUUAAAAUUUUAAAGUAAAUGUGAAUUAAAUUUUGAUGUUUUUAGUUUAAAACACAUGCUUAGAUUUUAAAUUCAUUAGAAUUCAAAAAUAUAUAUAAAAAUAUUUAAUAUAUAUUUUAAAAUAAGAAUAAUAUAGGAUAUUGCAGAUAUUUUCUGGUAAAAUAUAACAUAUAAAUAAAAAAAAUAGAAAAAUAUUCCUUACGGAGGUUAUGUUCAGUUUGUUAAAAAAAUAUCUUAAAUAAAAAUGAACAGUUAUGAUUAAUUUGUUAAAAAAUAGAAUUUCUAUUUAUCUAUAAAUCUAAUCUUACGAAUUGUUAUCAUCAAUUCAUAAAAAAAAAUAUCUUAAAUAAAAAUGAACAGUUGUGAUCAAUCUUUUUUACAAAAAAGCAUUCCUAUCCAUCUAUUUUGCAUUAAAAUUAAAAAUUGAGUUUAAAUCGUGAAUUAAAUUAAAUUUUUGACAUCAAAUUUGAAUUAACAAUUAAAAAAUUUUAAUUGUUGAUCAAAAAUUAAAUUUUAAAUUUUAAAGUAAAUGUGAAUUAUAUUUUGAUACUUUUAGUUUAAAAUACAUACUUAAAUUUUAGAUUCAUCAAAAAUAAAAAAUAUAUAUAAAAUAUUCAAUUUAUAUAAAAAAAUUAAUAUAGGAUAUUGCAAAUAUUUUUUAAUAAAAUGUAACAUAUGAAUUUAUACAAGAUAUUUUUUACUAUAAAUUAAUUAAAUUUUAAAUUUUAAAGUAAAUGUGGAUUAUAUUUUGAUACUUUUUGUUUAAAACACAUACUUAAAUUUUAGAUUAAUGAGAAAUAAAAAAAAUCUAAAAAUAUUCAAUAUAUAUAUAAAAAAAGAACAAUAUAUGAUAUUGCACAUAUUUUCUAAUAAAAUAUAAAAUAUGUGUAAUGACCCAGCCUAAUAGCAACAAUAACUCGUUGGGCCCAACUACCCAAUCACAUCCUCAUUCCUAUCUAAAGGAGACUCGUCUCGCUAGCCUUAUCAUUCAGACUCCGGCAUAGCCUAUCACCUUAUUUUUCCGACCUUGGCUCAGCCGAGACUCGCCACACAUUUCCGACUGGUGAACUGGCUCUGAUACGAAAUGUAACGAUCCAGCCCACUAGCAACAAUAACUAAAUUGGGCCAAACUACCGGUCCAAAAUGCUGAAGCCCAGUUAUUAUUACUAGUGUUUAAGUCUCUUAUAUACUCAAUCACAUUCCCAUUCCUAUCCGAUGUGGGAUUAUUGGGGUGUGACAAUAUGAAUUUAUAAAAUAUAAAUUUUAUUAUAAUUUUUUGGAUAAAUAUAAAGUAUAAAUUUAUAUUGAUUUGAAAUAAAUUAAAAUAAUUGUUACGCGUAUUUGCACACAUGCUAGUCUAUACUAUAUAUAAAAGUAUAUAUUUUAAAUUUCGGUCCGUAGACAUACCCAUUUCAAAAUUUCUCUUUUUUCGUAUGCAAAAUAAAUAGUAUAACGAAAAAAAAUUUUAGUUCAUCUUUUUUCUUCAACUAUUAAUAUUUUAUUUUUUAUUAAAUAUUUUUCUCACUCAAUAUCUUUUCUUUUUAAGAUAAAUAUUUAUGUAUUAUAUUUGUUCUUUCUACUAAUAUUUUGUUGUUAUAUUAAAUUUUUAAUUUUGUACUUUUAGUUUAAAAUAUAUAUUUAAAAUUUUGAUUUGUCAGAAUUAAAAUAAUAUACAAAAAUAUUAAACGUAUAUCUAUAUCUACACUAUAUAUAAAUUUUAUGAAAUAAAAAAUAGAACUAUAUAAUUAUUGUUGGCAAUGUGUCACGCCCCGGAUUCCUCAUUUCUUCGGGCACACUAACAGACCCGCCGUAUACAUAGAAAUUUUUUCUGCAUACGAAGCGAAGCUUUACCUGUACUCAUACAAUACUACAUGCCAGUAGUAUAGAGCUGCUAAAAGAAACAAUUAUGAAAUAGAAGUUCACUAUACAUACAUCAAAUCCAGGUGUACAAAAAGCUCGCUCCAGCGAGAUACAACACAGUAUGUAUAAGAACUCAAAAACUACAACUACCUGUAGCUGGUACUCCUCUAGCUCAGCAACUGGUCAGGAAGGGCUCUAACUCGCAACACCCUUUCCACGAUCAGACUCAGCAGCAGCAGCAGUAGCCGAAGAAGAAGGCUCUGCAAAAAAUUCCAACAACUGAGCGUGAGAACUACAGCAAAAAGAAGUAGUCCUCAGUGGGUAUCGCUACCGAUCUCAACGGCUCAUCCACUAAAUCUACAGAUGUAAACAAGUAUAGUAAGAAAGCUGAAAUAAAUCUACAGUUAAAAGCCACUAUACUAAUAUGCUCUAACCCAAAACAAUCUGUAGAAAAUAAAAAUCCUGACCGAAUCUCACUCGGGACUGUAAACAUACCCGUCCUAGGGACUGUGAGCACACCCGUCCCGCCUGUUGAAGCUAUACAGCUACCUCCACACUAAGCAGUCCGUGGAGAGCAAGUCCAAUCAGGACACAACGACACUAACGCAAAAGCACAAAGUCCGACUCCGGAGUGGUACUCGUGGGCGCUACCCAACCGAGUAUGCAAGCGUGUCUCUGUCGAGCUCAAUCAGGCUCUCGCAGGCUAUAGUCAAGUAAAUAGGGUCAAACAACUGAACUCACAUACUCUCGGCACAAUCUGAUGCAAAACAACAAUCUGGGUCCACCGUCAAUCUCAACGGCACCCAACAAUCCGGAACAGCCUAAACACUGUUGUAAAAAUACACUCGGCACCUCAGCACGAGCGUAAAAGUAUUCUAUAUUAUUCUGGGUAUCCACCGCCCACAAACUGCGGCGAUACAAACAAACUACGGCCCCUAGAGCUAAAUCUGGUAGUUUGAUCAAAUGACGGUGUAGAAACGUCAGUUUUCUCCUAAGUCAAAUCUAAGUCCAACAUGCAUAAUUUAGCUAAUUUUUCUAAGCUCCAAUUCAAGUUCAAAACAUGCAAUUCCAAGAAUCGAGCUAAAGAAUAUACUAAACGAAGCUAAAAACACAUGUUGUCGACACAUAUAGAAUUAGGAGGAAACCCAUAGAAUUCGAUAAGCAUAACAUUAACCCACCUCAAAAGCUAAUCCAACUACGGCGAGAAGUCGAGAGAAGGGAAAACACGCACUCGCCCGGCCUCCAACGGUGCAACCGCGACGUCCACACGCUCGAACGGCUCUCCGGCGCAACGUCGACGUCAAUCCGAGCCCAACCCGUCGUGGCCUCCACAAACAUAUAAUUAACACUUGAGAGAGAAAUAUAAUUAAGCCACCUACUCUCCCUCAGGUGGAUAAAUACGAGGGAGAGUUGGUGGUGUGGAUAACCACAACAAGAAGACAUCCAUACCCUUCACCAACUCCAUUUACAGCUGGAGUACCAGUACCAGCCCGAUGUCGCACCAGUACUCAAUAUUGAAACCUGCACUUUGCAGAUUUCAAUAUCAAACUCUGCUCUCGCGUUGUACUGAGUCAGUUUUGCUUCAACCUGCACUUUGCAGAUUUCAAUAUCAAACUCUGCUCUCGCGUUGUACUGAGUCAGUUUUGCUUCUAUUUCGCGCCAAAACGAUUCUGACUUGUCCCGGCACUCUCCAGAGCUGUCGACAAGUCUCAAAUGUUGAACUCCAGGGAUACUACACCCUCCUCCACCACAAAAAGUUUCGUCCUCGAAACUUAAGCAUAUCUCAACUCUGAGCAUCGAACAAGUAGGGAUAGGAUUCCCACAUCACCGACUCAAGCUCCCAGGUAGCCUCUCGCUCCUUGUAAUGACUCCACUGCACUUUUACAUAAGGAAUGACCCGGUUGCGCAAUUCAUUCGUUUCACGAGCCAGAAUUCGCACCGGUCUUUCCUCAUAUCUCAAGUCCUCGCCAAGCUCCAGUGAAGUGAAGUCGAUCACGUGCGAGGGAUCAAACACGUACUUCCUCAAAGCCGAGACGUGGAAAAUAUCAUGGAUACCGGCCAGUCGUGGGAGUAAAGCAAUCCUGUAGGCAACUGGUCCAACUCGCUCCAAUACCUUAAAAGGGCCUACAAAGCGUGGGCUGAGCUUUCCGCGCACUCCAAAUCUGCGUAUGACUCUGGACGGCGAGACUUUGAGAAAUACAUGAUCUCCAACCUGGAACUCUAAGUCUCGUCUCCUGGUAUCGGCGUAUCUCCUCUGGCGGCUCUGAGCUUUCAAAAGGUGUCGUCGCACUGCUCUAACCUUUUUCUCAACCUCUAGCAAGAUCUUAGGUCCCAGCAUUUUUCUUUCACCGAUAUCACUCCAAAAUAAAGGGGAUUGACAUCUGCGUCCAUACAACGCCUCAAACGGAGCCAUCUGAAUGCUCGUUUGAUAGCUGUUGUUGUACGAAAACUCAGCCAGUCUCAAAUGUCGAUGCCAUCCUCUUCCAAAGUCCAGGACGCAUGCCCUCAGCAUGUUCUCUAGAGUCUGAAUGGUCCGCUCUGACUGACCAUCUGUCUGUGAGUGAAACGCCGUGUUGAAAUGCAACUGUGUACCCAAGGCUGUCUGAAGACUCCUCCAAAAGUGCGACACAAACCUCGGAUCCCUGUUUGAAACGAUCGAGAUCGGUACUCCAUGCAAUCUCACGAUCUCAUCCAGAUAUAGCUGAGCGAGCCUCUCCCUGGACCAGGUGGUUUGAACUGGUAGGAAGUGAGCAGAUUUAGUCAGACUUUCCACUAUCACCCAAAUAGCAUCGAAACCACCCUGUGCUCUAGGCAACCCCACGGCAAAGUCCAUCAUGAUCUGCUCCCAUUUCCACUCGGGCACUGACAGACUCUGAAACUUGCCAGCAAGUACCUGAUGCUUUGCUUUCACCUGUUGGCAAGUGAAACACUGAGCCACAUAUUUGCUAAUGUCUCUCUUCAUUCCAUUCCACCAGAACUGUGCCUUUAAAUCCUUAUACAUCUUGGUUCCACCAGGGUGAACCGUAUAAGGUGAAUAAUGAGCCUCUCUCAAAAUAUCCUCUCGUAUCUCUGAAUCCAUAGGCACACACAGUCGGUCCCUGUACCGCAGUACUCCGAACUGUCCACAACAAAACCCUCUGCAUGUCCCCUCUCUAGCUGCUUUCGAAUUCUCAACAAGUGCGGGUCUCCACUUUAUUUCUCUCGGAUCCUAUCCAACAGAGUGGGUUCAAAACCAUAGACAUCAGUCUUGCAAUAGACCCAGGGGACAUAAUCUCGAGCCUCAACCGCUGCAGCUCCUCGAGUAACGGCCUCUGCUGAGUAAUCAACAUGCUUAAGCUCUGCACUGCCUUCCUGCUCAACGCAUCUGCCACCACAUUCGUCUUGCCGGGAUGAUACUGAAUACUAAUAUCAUAGUCCUUUAGUAACUCCAACCACCGGCGUUGCCUCAGAUUCAACUCCCUCUGAGUGAACAGAUACUUGAGACUUUUAUGAUCGGUGAAAAUCUCGCAGUGCUCGCCAUACAAGUAAUGCCGCCACAACUUCAAAGCAAGGACUACCGUAGUAAGCUCCAAGUCAUGCGUAGGAUAAUUCUUCUCGUAAUCCUUCAAUUGCCGUGAAGCAUGAGUAAUUACCCUACCAUGCUGCAUCAGCACACAGCCCAAACCACUGUGCGAUGCAUCACUGUAGAUCACAAAUCCUUCCCCUAUCACUGGAAGGGCAAGGAUAGGAGCUGACAUCAACCUCUGUCUCAACUCAUCAAAGCUCCUCUGACAGUCCUCACUCCAGAUAAACCGAAUCCCCUUUCGAGUCAAUCGAGUGAGGGGUGUGGAAAGCUUUCCAAAGCCUUCCACAAACCGACGGUAAUAUCCUGCUAGUCAAACAAAAUUUCUCACUUCCGUCACCGUCGUCGGUAUGGGCCAAUCCCGAAUAGCAUCAAUCUUCUUCGGGUUCACUGCUACUCCAUCUGCAGAAAUUACAUGGCCUAAGAAAGAAACCUCCCGCAGCCAGAACUCGCACUUCUUCAACGUAGUAUACAACUUCUUCUCCUUCAGAAGUUGCAGCACAAUCCUCAAGUGCUUCUCGUACUCGGCGUCGCUCCAGAAGUACAUCAAGAUAUCAUUGAUGAGGACCACCACAAAUCUAUCCAAGAACAGCUUGAACACUCUGUUCAUCAAGUCCAUAAAUACGGCAAGGGCAUUCGCCAAUUCAAAAGGCAUCACUGUAACUCAUAAUGCCCGUACCGAGUUCGAAAAGCCGUCUUGGGAACAUCGUCGGCCCUCACCCUCAACUGGUGGUAACCUGACUGGAAAUCAAUUUUCGAAAAGACACAAGAUCCUUGCAGCUGAUUAAACAUAUCAUCAAUGCGUGGCAAAGGAUACUUGUUCUUGAUGAUCACUUUAUUCAGCUCCCGGUAAUCCACACACAAUCUAAGUGAAUUAUCCUUUUUUUUCACGAAUAACACCGGCGCUCCCCAAGGCGACAUACUGGGUCUCACAUAUCACUUAUCCAUCAGAAUUUGAAGCUGCGCCUUUAGCUUUCUCAGCUCUGCCGGUGCGAUCCGAUAAGAUACCUUCGAGAUUGGUGCAGUUCCAGGAACUACAUCAAUUACAAACUCAAUCUCCCUCUCUGGCAGCAUCGUCGUCAACUCCGAGGGAAACAUAUCUGGAAACUUGCGGACUACAGGGAUAUUCUCGAGUCCCGGCGACGCCGUAGACACCUCUACAACCGUCGCCAGAAAAGCGAUACACCCUCUACUCAUCAUCUGUCGAGCCCUCGCCAACGAAAUCCAAGUAGCAAACAGCAUACUCCUGUAGCCCCUAAAAGUAAACUUCUCCUGGCCUGGCUCGCGGAACGUCACAGUUCUUGCUCCACAAUCUAUAGUAGCAUAGUAUCGCGCAAGCCAAUCCAUGCCGAGCACAAUGUCAAAGUCCUGCAGCUGCCCUAACACCAACAGGUCUGCGGGCAUGAUCCACGAAUCAAGCUGCACUGGACACGACCAACAACACUCUGCAACCUGUAAAACAUGGUCGGGGAUCUGCACGUCUCGUACCUGUGACAAUAGUCCUAACUCUAGAUCAUGCAACAAUGCAAAUGCUCGGCUAACAAAAGAAUAUGAUGCACCGGUAUCAAAAAGAGUACGAGCUCUAAUGUCGGAAAUCAAAAUGAUACCUGCCACCACUCGAUCGGCUGCUGUAGAGUCGUCUACCUGAGCUGCGUAGACUCUGCCACUCGGAGCCUGCUGUCGCCGCUCACACUGACGCGGCACAGACGUUCUUUCCUCCUGGCGGUGACUCGGCGGUGCCCCGUAAGACUGCUGAGGUACCGGCUAUACUAUUGCUGACGAUGGUGCUAGUGAUGCUGCUCGGGGACAGGCUGCCCUCAUAUGCCUUGGCUGUCCACAUCCAUAGCAUUGACUCUCUCGCUGCUAGCACUGUCGAGGCUAGUGUGGUCCCCCACAAAUCACAUACUGCGGCGACUCUUGCGACUACCUCUGCUGACGAGAUCCUCCAGAACGCUUACGCCCCGAAGACCCACGACCCUGAAAGCGUGAUCGUGGAGGUCUCGGCGAACGCCUGCUACUCGACUGUCCUCCGUCGUCUGGAGCCGAGCGCUUCCUGUCCUGACUCUGCCUCUGUAACUGAGUCUGCUCACGGAUCGAAGUAUCACCUCUCUCGACCGAAAGAGCCUACUCCAUAGACGCGUCCAAGGUCCUCAACCUCGGCUCCUGAACAAAUCUGAAGAUCUCUGGCGUCAAUCCUUUCUCAAAAAGGUAAACCCUGUGCGCCUCAUCCCUGGCCACAAAUAGGACAUAGUUUAGGAGCUGAGUAAACUUACGGAUACACUCUUGAACUGGUUGAUCCCACUGCUGAAGCCUCCUCAUAUCCUCCUCUAUCUUCUGCUUUAUACUGUUGAAAAAAUACAUCCCAUACAGCAUGCCACAGAACUCAUCCCAUCGCAUCUGCAAAGCCACCAACCCGUAGUCUCGCCUCACCCUCUUCCUCCAAGAAUGUGCAUCACCUGCCAAGCAGUGAACUCUCAUAUGUACCUGCUCCCGCUCAGGAAUGAACAGAUCCUCAAACAAUUUCUCCAUUGCGCUGACCCAACCCUCAACAAUCCAGGCCUCAGUACCUUUGCCAUCAAAAGUCGGCGGAUCAAAGCGACGAAAGCGGGCAAGUCUCUCAGCCAUUCGCUUCUGCUCAGCCUCAGUCAGCUGUGGGGCCUCACCAAAAGCUGCAACUGGCACUUGGGGAACUGCCGCUGGUGGGGGUACUGCUGCAGCUGGUGCUACCACUGGAGUAGGCGGAGGUGGAACUUGCUGCUUUGGUACUGUACUCUGCGGCGGAGCUAACCUCUCAUAUAUCCUCUGCAAUAACUCUUCCUGCUGCCUCGUCACCUCUGUCAAGGUAGCCAACUGUUCCCUCACAUCAGGGGGUGCGCUCUCCUCUGGUCGCGCACUCGGCUCUGCCUGCUCAGGCAUCUCGGGAGGUGCGGCACGCUCCCGCGUCGACUGUGCACGCUCCCGCAACGACGGUCGACCACGACGUCGAUAUAUAGCUGCCAAGAAAAGAAAAGAGGGUGAGAUAAAACACAAACACUCUCGACCCAAUCAAACGAAAGUGUGGAAGGCGGCCCCCCUGUUUCUCCUCAGAAUUAUGUCGUCUGCAGCCAACAUAAUUUUUCUGGACCGAACAGGUACUCCUCCAAUCACUCACUCCGCUCUAGGAGGAGUUAGAACAAUCAAUCAUUGACUUUCGCGAUAAAUGACGCCUCUCGUGUCUUGCCCUUCUAAGGUUUGCCGAAUUUAGGGUUCCUAGGUCCCAACGACUUAAUACUAAGCUCUGAUACCAAAGUAAUCUGUCACGCCCCGGAUUACUUGUUUCCCCGGGCACGCCGACAAAUCCGCUGUAUAUAAAUUUUUUUUUUCUGUAUACGAAGCGAUAGCUGUACCUGUAAAUAUACAAUACUACACCUAGUAGUAUAGAGCUGCUAAAAGAACUAAAGUAUAUAAAAACAGAAGUCCACUAUACAAACAUACAUCCAGGUAAACAAAAUAUUCGCUCCAGCGAGAUACAACAACAGUAUGUAUAUGAACUCAAAACUACCACUACCUGUAGCUGGUACACUCUAGGUCAGCAGCAACUGGAAAGGGAUCUAACUCGUGACUACCUUUUCAUGGUCCAAAUCAGCAGCAGCAGCAGCCGAAGAAGAAGGCUCUGGAAAAGAUUCCAACAACUGGACGUGAGAACUAGUACAAAAAGAAGUAGCUUUCAGUGCGUACUGCUACCGACAUCAACGGCUCACCCACUAAGUCUACAGAUGUAAACAAGUAUAGUAAAAAGCUGGAAAUAAAUCUACAGCUAUAUGCACCUAUACUAUCUCGGUCUAACACCCUCUAUCUGUAGAAAAGUACAAUCUGACCCAAUCUCACUAGGGACUGUAAAAAUAUCCGUCCCAGGGACUGUGAACACACCUGUCCCGCCUGUCGAAGCUAUACUAUCUGACACCAAACCAGGUCGUUAGUGGAGAACAAGUCCAACCAGGACAAAAUGACACCAACGCAAAAGCACAAAGCCCAACUCUGGAGUGGCACUCGUGGGUGCUACCCAACCGAGUAUGCAAGCAUGUCUCUGUCGAGCUCAAUCCGGCUCUCACAGGCUAUAGUCAAGUAAGCAGGGUCUAACAGGUCUAACAACCAAAACACACGUGCCCUCAACACAAUCUGAUGUAAAAACCGUAAUCUGGGUCUACCGUCAACCCCAACGACACCCGACAAUUUGGAACAGUCUGAACAACAUUGUAAAAAUAAGAUCGGCAUUCCAGCACGAGCAUAAAAUUAUUCUACACUAUUCUGGGUAUCCACCGCCCACAAACUGCGGCGAUACAAACAAACUACGGCUCUUAGAGCUAAAUCUGGUAGUUUCAGAAUAUGACGGUGUAGAAUCGAUAGUUUUCUCCUAAGUCAAAUUUCAAGUUCAACAUGUAUAAUUUAUCUAAAUCUCUACUAUAUGCUCCAAAUUCAGAUUUCAAUAAAUAAGCAAAUCGAUGAAUUCGAGCUAAACUAACAUGAUAUUCAAGACCAAAAAUAUACAUGUUGACAUCAACUAAACUUAGGAGGAAAUCCGUAGAAUUCGGUAAGCAUAUCAUUAACCCACCUCAAAAACUAAUCCACGACAGCGAGAAGUGGAUAGGAGAAAAAAUUCCGCGCUCGCUUGGCCUCCAACGGCGCUAACACGACGCACGCACUCGACUCGCUCGCUCGCUCGCCUCGCUCGUAAGAAUGAAGCCAAGUUGUCCCUGCUAAUUAAUUAACUCACUCGUGGUAAUAAAAAAAAAAACAACAAAAGGAGAGGAUAAGGACUCCACCGCCUAAUUAAACAACGUGGACUCCACCGCCUAAUUAAACAAAAUUGCCCACAAGCCCCUAUAUAACUAGGUAUUCAACUUUAAUCCUCUACAAUAUAAAUCUUGAGUUUCAAAGUCCGUUUUUACGUCUAUUUUGCGUAAAACAUCUCCAACUUAAUCAAGCAUAAACUUAUACUGUAAUCUUGCAAAUUUGCUAAGGUUCAGUAUAUCACACUCUCAUAGGCUAUAGUCAAGUAAACAGGGCCUAACUGGUCUAACAACCAAAACACACGUGCCUUCGGCACAAUCUAAUGCAAAAACAGUAAUCUGGAUCCACCGUCAACCUCGACGGCACCUGACAAUCUGGAACAGUUUGAACAAUACUGGAAAAAUAAGCUCGGCAUCCUAGCACGAGCGUAAUAUUAUUCUACACUAUUCUGGGUAUCCACCGCCCACAAACUGUGGCGAUACAAACAAACUACGGCUCCUAGAGCUAAAUCUGAUAGUUUGAUCAAAUGGCGGGGUAGAAACAUCAGUUUUCUCCUAAGUCAAAUCCAAGUCCAACAUACAUAAUUUAGCUAAUAUUCUAAGUUCCAAUUCAAGUUCAAAAGUAUGCAAUUCCAAGAAUCGAGCUAAACAAUAGACUAAACGAAACUAAAAACACAUGUUGUCGACACAUAUAGAAUUAGGAGGAAAUCCGUAGAAUCCAGUAAGCAUCACUUUGACCCACCUCGAAACGCUAAUCCAAAUCCGGCAAGAAGUCGAUAGAAGCGGAACCACGCGCUCGCCCGGCCUCCAAUCGGCACACCUACGACGAACGUACGUUCGAAUGGCACCGCGGUGCAACGUCGACGUCGCUCCGAGCUCCAACCGCGACCUCCACCACGUACGGCUCAAGCUAGAGAGAGAGGAAAUUAGAGAAGUGCAAUACCUCACUAAUUAAGUUGCUACGUGCACUUAAAUAUGGAGUUGAUAAGCAUGGGGUAGGUGGAAUCCUUAUCCAUCUCAAAAUUUACAAUAAUAAUCCUCACCAACUCGAAGCCAAGAAUACUACAAUUUAAUUAAUUUAUAUUAUAUAAUAAAAUUUAAGUAUAAAUAUAUUGUCAUAAAUAUUAAUUUCGAUAUAAUAUUUAAAUUAAUAUAGUUAUUUAUAUAUCUAUUUAUCUAAUAAAAUAAAGAGAACAAAGUUGUUCUUAGUUUUUCUAGGUAUAAUUUUUAAUGUGUUGUUUCAUAACAAUCUGUUUUGAUCGGAGCAAUCUGUUCUUCCCAGUUCUUUCACUAUUCGGAUACAAAUUGGGGGAUAUCUUGUCUUGUUUCGGAAUAUCUCUCGUAUCAAACACAGCUUUAGGUUUUGACCGAUGGAGUUUAAAAAACCAUAUAAACUAUUCCAUUCAUAUUAAAAUAAAAGAAAAUUUGCAUAUCUAUUGAUCAAUUAAUUCAUUAUUAUAUUCAAUCAUGUUAAUUCAAUUGUGAUAACUUUUUGGUGUAUAUUUUGUUUCGGAAAGUUGUCCCAAUUCUGGUAAUUUAAAUUUGUUUCGCUUUAUGUUUUGGAGGUGCCCACAGCAUUUUCUUCUUCUUUUCAUCCUCAAUUUAUCGAAUUUAUAUAUCAUAUUAACUUUCAAUUUAUUAAAUUUAUUUAACUUUAAAUUUAAAAUUUUAUCUAAUUCAAAAUUCAAGUAUUAAAAUUUACUUUCUCUCUUUUAUGAAUUAGAAAUAGAAAUUUAAAAGUUAAUUGUAAACUUUUGGGAGAGUUAAUUCUAAUUUAUCAGAAUUUUAAAUUUACACCUUUAUUUCCAAAAUAUACUUCUAAACCUCAAAUCUCAUUGGUAAAUCUUAGGAUUAGGCCUAUAUUUAAAAAAACAUUUCAGAAAUCAAUCAGAACAUUUCAAUCAACCAAAAAUAUAGAUGUUUUUAAAAUUUUAAAAGAUUAUAUUAGCUAUUAUCCUUAUUCUAGAAAAUUCUCAAAUUCACGUUAAUUCCAAUUACAUCUCUUUCUUUGCUUUUUUUUUUUGUUGUGUACUCUCUCUUUUAUUUUGAUUUUUCUCUUUUAUUUUGAUUUCUUCCUACUAUCCAAACAUUUCGCUUAAUGGCCAAUUUGCAUAAAAAAUCCACCAGUUUUGAGCUUUUGCAUAAGUAGGCUGCAUUUUUGAAUUUUGCAGAUUUAGGUUGGAUUUUCAUAAAAUCGAUCAAAAUACCUUUGUUCUUUCUCUUCUUUUUUUCUCUCGUUCUUUUCUCUCUCUCUCCCAAGAGGGCGGCGGAGGUGGAGGUGGCCCGCCUUGCCUCUAUCCGGCGCACCUUUAUCCUCGACCGCGCACCCCCCCGCCUUCCUCGCCUCCGACUCCGUCGUGGCCGUGCCGCGACCUUUUUGUUUUUUUGUUCUCUCCGACCCUCUUCCAUUGCUUCCCCAAUUCUUUACGACAGUAAAGAGGAUAACGCAGCGUCCUCUUACUCUCCUUUUUUUCUCUUAUUCUUUUUNUUAAGACAGUAAAGAAGGAAACACUAUAUUCUCUUCCUCUCCUUUUUUUUCUUUCGUUCUCUUUUUUUUUUCUCUUCGACCCCCCUCCACUGCCUCCGCGACCCUCCACAAUAGUAACGAAAAUAGCACCGCGUCCUCUUAUUCUGCAUUGGCUGACGCAGGCACCGACACCGGCGCUGGAGAAGGAGGACUCGGUGAGAGCACGGGUGAGAGUGGAGCUAAAAAAAAAUAUAGAAAAUAAAUAAAACAAAAAGAAUAAAAAAUAAAAUACAGAUAAAGAAAAUUAUUUUUUUCUAUAAGAAAAAUAAAGAAUCAGAUAGAAAAGAAGAAGAUAAUGAAGAUGUACUGUUUCAGAGAAAAGUUGCACUGUUUUAAAAAAAAUAUACUUUUUGAAUAAAAGUUGCAUUCUUUGAACGAAACUUGUACUAUUUGACGAAAAUUACACUGUUUCUUCUCUUCCACACGAAAAUGAAGAGAAAGGAGGAGGAAGAAGAGGAGAAAUAGUAUAAUUUUCGUCUAAAUAGUGUAACUUUCGUUCAAAGAGUGCAACUUUUAUUCAGAAAAGUUUAAUUUUUCUCUCAAAUAGUGUAAUUUCUUUUUAUAACAGUGCAACGUCUCUCUGAAAUAGUGUAACUUCAUCAUCUUUUCUUUUCGAUUCUUUAUUUUUCUUAUAACUUUUUUUCACCCUCUCCGACCCUCAUCGUCUCCUCUGCCGUCUCCGCGGUCGUCUGCGACGGUAACAAGGGCGGCGCCACAUCCUCUUCUUCCAUCUCCUCCUCCGCCAGUGCCGGUGGCUGUCAGCAGCGGUAAUGAGGGCGGCGCCGCCUCCUCCGCCUCCGCCUUCGCCAGCGCUAGCGCCGGAGAAAGAGAAGGAGAACUCGAAGUGGCGAGCACCUCCUCGACAACGACCUCAUCGCCUCUGCCUGCUCCUCCCUCAUUGGGGUUCACUUCGAGUUCUCCUUUUCCUUCUCUUUCUCCGAUACCGGUGGAGGCGGAGGAGGAGGCGGAGGAGGCGGCACCGCUCUCGUUACCGUCGCCGAGGGCCGCUGGCGCUGGCGAAGGAGGAGAUGGAGGAAGAGAAUGUGGCGCCGUCCUCGUUACCGUCUUCGAGGACCAUGGAGGCGGUGGAGGAGGCAAUGAAGGUCGAAGAGGGUGAAAAGAAGUUACAAGAAAAAUAAAGAAUCAGAGAGAAAGAAAAAGAUGAUAAAGUUACACUAUUUCAUAGGAAUAGUGCAUCUUUAUCAUCCUUUUCUUUUCUCUCCGAUUCUUUAUUUUUCUUGUAAAAAAAAUAUUUUUUUAUAUUUUAUUCUUUAUUUUUUUAUUUUAUUUAUUUUCUAUUUUUUUUCCUUGCCUCCGCUUGCUUCGAGUCCUCCUUCUCCGACGUCAAUGUUGGUGCCUGCGCCGACUAAGGCUGAGUAAGAGUACGUGGCGCUGUCUCCGUUACCGUUAUGGAGAGUUGCGGAGGUGGUGAACGGGGGUCGAAGAGAAAAAAAAAAGAACGAGAGAAAAAAGGAGAGGACGAGUACGCAACGUUACCUUCUUUACUGUAGUAAAGAGCCGAGAAGACGAUAGAGGAGGGUCAAAGAGAAAAAAAACAGGGUGGCAGCGCGGUCUCAGCGGGGUCGGAGGCGAGGAAUGCUGUCACGCCCCGGAUUACACUUUCCCCGGGCACGCCGACAAAUCCGCCGUAUACAAAGGAAUUUCCCCUGUAUACGAAGCGUUAGCUGUACCUGUAAAUCAAACACUAGUACGAACAGUAGUAGAGAGCUGCUAGAGAAAACAGAAGCUAAACAAACUGAGUUUCAUAUACAUAGUCCAAAUCCAAAAUACAAAGCUACUCGCACUGGCGAGUUAAGUCCACUAUGUACAUAAACUCGAAACAAAACAUCUACCUGCAGUAGGGGCACCUCUAGCUCAGCACGUCGGGUAGGGCUCUAACUCGCGACGCCCUUACCUCGAUCCUGAUACGCGGAAGGCGCAGCAGCCGAAACCUGUGGCUCUGCAAAACGGGGGUAACAACUGGGCGUGAGAACUACUAUAAAAACAAGUAGUCCUCAGUGGGUACCGCCCAAAACAACAUCGGUCCACCCACUAAGUCUACAGGAGGGAGCAAGAAUAGUAGGAAAAGCAGGAAACAAACUCAACCGCUACAAAUCACUAUACUAUCAUGCUCUACACUAACCAACUGUAGGAAAUGUCAAAUCUGACCCAAUCCAAUCGGGACUGUAGACAUACCCGUCCCUGGGACUGUGAACACACCCGUCCCUGCCCCGUUGCGACUAUCGGGCUCUAUCCACACUAACUGGUCCGUGGAGAGCAAGUCCAACUGGCAUGAGCGACACCAACGCAAAAGCACAAGCCUGACUCCGGAGUGGCACUCGUGGGCGCUACCCAACCGAGUAUGCAGCGUAUCUCUGUCGAGCUCAAUCAGGCUCCAACUAGCCAAAGUCAAGUAAUCGACUUAAACUGGUCUAACAACCAACAGGUAACGUGCCCUCGGCACAAUCUGACGCCAAAAAGGCGAUACGGUCCACCGUCAACUCUGACGGCACCCAACAGUCCGAAACGGCCUGAACGACCCUGCAAAAAUUCACUCGGCGAACCAGCACGAGUGUAAAUACAUUCUAAACUACCCAAGGUAUCCAUUGCACUGACUCGGCAACGAUACAAUCGAACACGGCUCCUAGAGCUAAAUCUGGUAGUUUAAGCAUAUGACGGGUCAAAACGCAGGUUUUCUCCUAAGUCAAAUUUCAAGUCCAACAUGUAUAAUUUAAAUAUUCAUUUCAGCAUGCUUCUACAUUCAUAUUACAUUCAAAAUGCUAAUCGAUGAAUUAAAGCAUGAUUUACAACACUCGAACUAUACACGUUGACUAACAUGCACUUAGGAGCGAAACCGAUGAAACACCCACCUCUAAUGCAAUUCCUGGCAGCAAUAGGGUCUCGGAUCCUCAAGCAACACUGCUGGAAACCUCUUCAAACCAGCAACAAAGCCCCUUAAGAUCUGGAUUUACAAUGCACCCAAAAAUCCAAUAAAAAUCAUCAAAAUCCACAAUUCAGUCCAAGUACACAGCAGCAGAGAAGAGAAGGGUUUCGACCAAGCUAACCUUCACCAAAAUCCACAAGUAAGGACUUCGUGGAUUCUUCUCGCAGUCCCGAAACCAACGAAUCAAGUCUCGACGAAAUCCGAUGCUCCUACGUCGAGUACGAGCUGAAAUACUAACAGUCGACGAUGAAUUUCAGCAAAACAGCAUUUAAGCUUAAAUAUCUCAAUUCCAAUGUCAAAACUCACCAAACGAACUCCAAAUCAGGUGGAGAGGGUCCCAAUUCCAGUACUGGGUGAUAGGGAAAAUAACUCAACUCCACAAAGCCCCUGCUUCCCAAGUUCACCCCAAGAAAACAUCAAAAAUUGGCAAAUUCUGUCCAAAGCAACAACAGCAGAGGAAAACCUGAGUUCGACUGAGCUAACCUUCACCAAAUUCUGCAAAUUAGGGCUUCGUGGAUUCCUCUGGAAGUCAAGAAUCCAGCAAACCAAGUUUCGUUGAAAUCCGACCUUCCUACGUCACGCACGAGCCAAAACACUGGAGGUCGUCGCUGAAGAACUGCAAAAUCAGCACCUUGCAAUUCUUGGAGAGGUGGAUCUUGAUGCAAAUUGGAAAGAUUUGAGGGAUUUGGGAGUAAAAUCUAAGUCCUCUGUGAAGAACAGGUAAAAGAGCUCAAAGGGGGCGCUUCUCAGCUAUUUAUAGGCUGCUGGAUAGAUCAGAUAAGCCCCAGGAAAAAUAGCCGCAAUCCAGUGCCCCUGCAGAAACGGGCGUUUCUGGGCGCCCGGAACCAUGUUCUGGGCGACCAGAACAUCCGGCCUGCACAAAAUGGGCCCCUCGGACUCUCCGCCCGCGGUGUGCUGCGCCCGUAAACGGCACCGGCGGAACUCACCUACCGCCCUGCCACGCGUCGAAGCAAGCGAUAUUCACGAGGUGAAAUUUCCGGACCCACUUCUGGGCGCCCGGAACAUGGGAUCCGAAUUGGCUUCCAGUUUCAGUUAAAAUCAACACUCGUUUCUGGGCGACCCUAACAAUGUUCUGGGCGCCCGAAUCUGGCAAAACUCCAGUUUUGCUUAUUUGAGUGCGCCGAGUCCAAUUCUGCAUCCAAUUCGUGCAGAAUUGACUCCGACUCAGUCCGACACUCUCCAGAGAUGUCGACCAGUCUAUAAUACUGAAGCCAAUCCUAUCCAAAGCUCAGGAACACUACAUCCUCCCCCACUACAAAAAGUUUCGUCCGCGAAACUGUACACAUACCUCAAUCCAGGGCCUCAAACAGGUAGGGGUAGGACUCCUUCAUCACCGCCUCCGGCUCCCAAGUCGCCUCCCGCUCCUCGUGAUUACUCCACUGCACCUUUACAAAGGGUAUGACCCGGUUGCGCAAUUCCCUCGACUCACGAGCCAGAAUCCGCACCGGUCGCUCCUCGUAGCUCAGGUCCUCGCCAAUCUCAAGCGGAGUGAAGUCGAUCACGUGGGAGGGGUCGAACACAUAUUUCCUCAAAGCCGAGACGUGGAACACAUCAUGAAUGCCGGCUAGCCGUGGUGGUAGAGCAAUCCUGUAAGCAACUGGCCCGACUCGCUCCAAUACCUCGAAAGGGCCUACAAAACGUGGACUGAGCUUUCCACGUACACCAAAUCGGCGAAUCCCUCUGGACGGCGAGACUUUAAGAAAAACAUGAUCUCCCACCUGGAACUCCAAGUCUCGUCUCCGGGUAUCAGCAUAGCUCCUCUGUCGACUCUGGGCUGCUAAUAUGUGCCGUCGCGCCUCUUUUACCUUUUCCUCAGCCUCAAUCAGAAUCUCAGGCCCAAGCGUCCUCCUCUCACCCACAUCACUCCAAAACAAAGGGGAUCGACAUCUGCGUCCAUACAACGCCUCAAACGGAGCCAUCCGGAUGCUCGCUUGAUAGCUGUUGUUGUACGCAAACUCAACCAGUCUCAAAUGCCGAUACCACCCUCCUCCAAAGUCCAAGACACAUGCCCUCAGCAUGUCCUCUAGAGUCUGAAUGGUCCGCUCUGACUGACCAUCUGUCUGUGGGUGAAAUGCUGUGCUGAACUGCAACUGAGUGCCCAAGGCCGUCUGAAGACUCCUCCAGAAGUGCGAUACGAACCUCGGGUCCCGGUCGGAUACUAUCGAAGUGGGCACGCCAUGCAACCUCACUAUCUCAUCCAAGUACAACUGAGCGAGUCUCUCUCUGGACCAAGUGGUCUGCACUGGUAAGAAGUGAGCAGACUUGGUCAGUCUGUCCACUAUCACCCAAAUCGCAUCAAAACCACCCUGUGCUCUCGGCAAUCCGACGACAAAGUCCAUCGUGAUCUGCUCCCAUUUCCACUCGGGCACUGGUAGACUCUGAAGCUUGCCAGCAGGUACCUGAUGCUCGGCCUUUACCUGUUGACAAGUCAGACACUGAGCCACAAAUCUACCAAUGUCCCUCUUCAUUCCAUUCCACCAAAACUGAGCCUUUAAAUCCUUAUACAUUUUGGUUCCACCGGGGUGAACCGUAUAAGGUGAACAGUGAGCCUCUCUCAAGAUGUCCUCUCGGAUCUCUGAAUCCAUAGGUACACACAGUCGGUCCCUGUACCGCAGUACUCCCGAACUGUCCACAACAAAGCCCUCGGCCUGUCCCCUCUCAAGCUGCUCUCGAAUCCUCGACAAGUGUGGAUCCCCACUCUGUUUCUCUCGAAUCCUAUCUAACAGAGUGGGCUGCAAGAUCAUAGACAUCAAUCUCGCAGUAAAUCCAGGGGACACUACCUCGAGUCCCAGCCGUCUCAGCUCCUCGAGUAACGGUCUCUGCCGAGUGAUCAACAUACUCAAGCUCUGCACUGCCUUCCUGCUCAACGCAUCUGCCACCACAUUCGCCUUGCCGGGAUGAUACUGGAUACUGAUGUCAUAAUCCUUCAGCAACUCCAACCACCGGCGCUGUCUCAAAUUCAACUCCUUUUGGGUGAACAGAUACUUGAGACUUUUAUGAUCAGUAAAAAUCUCGCAGUGCUCGCCGUACAAGUAAUGCCGCCAGAGCUUCAAAGCAAAAACCACCGCGGCAAGCUCCAAGUCAUGCGUAGGGUAAUUCUUCUCAUAAUCCUUUAACUGCCGUGAAGCAUAAGCAAUCACCCUACCAUGCUGCAUCAGCACGCAACCAAGUCCACUGUGCGAUGCAUCACUGUAGAUCACAAAUCCUUCGCCCAUAACAGGAAGGGCAAGGAUAGGAGCCGACAUCAACCUCAAUCUCAACUCGUCAAAGCUCCUCUGACAGUCGUCGCUCCAGACAAAACGAAUCCCCUUCCGCGUCAAGCGCGUGAGGGGUGUGGAAAGCUUCGCAAAGCCUUCCACAAACCGACGGUAAUAUCCUGCCAGUCCCAGGAAGCUCCGUACCUCAGUAACCGUCGUCGGUCUAGGCCAAUCUCGAAUCGCCUCAAUCUUCUUCGGGUCCACUGCUACGCCCUCAGCUGAAAUCACGUGGCCCAAGAAAGCAACCUCCCGUAGCCAGAACUCGCACUUCUUUAACUUGGCAUACAACUUCUUCUCGCGCAGAAGCUGUAGCACAAUCCUCAAGUGCUCCUCAUGCUCAGCAUCACUCCGGGAGUAAAUCAGGAUAUCGUCGAUGAAGACUACCACAAACCUAUCCAAGAACGGCUUGAACACUCUGUUCAUCAAAUCCAUGAAUGCGGCAGGGGCAUUCGUCAAUCCAAAAGGCAUCACCGUGAACUCAUAAUGCCCGUACCGAGUCCGAAAAGCCGUCUUGGGAACAUCCUCGGCCCUCACCCUCAGCUGGUGGUAACCUGACUGGAGAUCAAUCUUCGAAAAGACACAAGAUCCUUGCAGCUGAUCGAAUAGAUCAUCAAUGCGCGGCAGAGGAUACUUGUUCUUGAUGGUCACUUUAUUCAGCUCCCGGUAAUCCACACAUAACCUGAGCGAACCAUCCUUCUUCUUUACAAAUAACACCGGCGCUCCCCAAGGCGACACACUGGGUCUCACAAACCCUCUAUCCAUCAGAUCCUGAAGUUGCGCCUUUAGCUCUCUCAGCUCUGCCGGUGCCAUCCUGUAAGGUACCUUUGAGAUUGGUGCAGUUCCAGGAACUACAUCAAUCACAAACUCAAUCUCCCUCUCCGGCGGCAAUGUCGUCAACUCAGGGGGAAACACAUCCGAAAACUCGCGGACUACUGGGAUGUCCUCGAGUCUCGGCGCCGCCGUAGGUACCUCCACAACUGUCGCUAGGAAAGCGAUACACCCACUGCUCAGCAUCUGUCGAGCCCUCGCCGAAGAUAUCCAGGUGGCAAACAGCGUGCUCCUGCAGCCUCUGAAAGUAAACUCCUCCUGGCCUGGCUCGCGGAACGUCACCGUCCUCGCUCCACAGUCGAUCGUAGCAUAGUACCGCGCCAGCCAAUCCAUACCGAGCACUACGUCGAAGUCCUGCAGCUGCCCUAACACCAACAGGUCUGCGGGCAUGAUCCAAGAGUCUAACUGCACCGGACAGGACCAACAACACUCUGUAACCUGCAAGACAUGGUCGGGGAUCUGCACCUCUCGUGCCUGAGACAACGCUCCUAACUCUAGACCAUGCAACAAUGCAAAUGCUCGGCUAACAAAGGAAUGCGAUGCACCGGUAUCAAAAAGAGUGCGAACUCUAAUGCCAGAAAUCAAAGUGAUACCUGCCACCACUCGGUCGGCUGCUGAAGAGUCCUCCACCUGAGCUGCAUAGACCCUGCCACUCGGAGCCUGCUGUCGCCGCUCACUCGACCGCGGCACAGACGAUCUGUCCUCCUGGCGGUAGCUCGGUGCUGCUCCGUAAGACUGCUGUGGUGCUGGUGGUGCCGAAGCUGAUGACGGUGCUGGAGAUGCUGCUCGGGGACAAGCUGCCCUCAUGUGUCCCGGCUGACCACAUCCGUAGCACCUGCCCUCUCUCUGCUCGCACUGCCGAGGCCAGUGUGGUCCCCCGCAGAUCACACACUGUGGCGUCCUCUGAGUCUGCCCCUGCUGACGGGAUCCCCUGGAACGCUGACGCCCCGAAGACCCACGACCCUGAGAACGUGAUCGUGGAGGUCUCGGCGGACGUCUGCUGCUCGACUGCCCUCCGUCAUCUGGAAAGGGGCGCUUCCUGUCCUGACCCUGCCCCACGGCCUGAGUCCUCUCCUGCAGCGACACCUCACCUCUCUCCACCCAUAGGGCCUGCUCUAUGGACGCAUCCAGGGUCCUCGACCUCUGCGCCCGCACUAACCUGAAGAUGUCCGGUCUCAGCCCCUGCUCGAACAUGUAUACUCUGUGCGCCUCGUCUCUGGCCGCAAAUGGUACACAGUUCAGGAGUCGAGUAAACUCCCGAACGUACUCCUGCACUGGGCGAUCUCCCUGCUGAAGCCUCCUCAAAUCCUCCUCGAGCUUCUGCUUCACACUGUUGGGAAAGAACAUCCCAAACAGCAUUCCACAGAACUCGUCCCAACUCAGCUGCGCCGCCACUAGCCCCUGGUCUCGCCUCGUCCUCCGCCACCAGUCAUGAGCAUCACCUGCUA
rnacentral:lncRNA from 1 species